rnacentral:lncRNA from 1 species
GUUUUUUUUUUUUUUUUUUUUUUUUGUGUUUGGGGGGGGAGGAGUUAAAGAAAAAGAAAAAGACAAAAUCAUCCUUUUAGAUAGUGAAACAUCCAGAGCUUCUGUAAUUAUAAUGUAGAACUUAACACUAAAAAUACAGACAUUAAACUAAUUAAUGUAAAUAUUAAGACUACGAUAUGUAAAAACACAAUAAUAAUUUCUUUUGUUACUUGUUGAAAUUUGUGCCCACAACUUCAAUUUUAGCCAUCAAAUUACAAAUUACUUUCUCUGAACCAUUAAUUGCAUGCUGCAGCUACAGAAGAUAUGAAUCCUGAAAACAUCAUUUAAAUCCAAAUCCGUACCGGGGGAAGGACACGCAUUAGUAGUUCAAGAACUAGAGUAUGAAUACGAGUAGGACUAGGAUUUUUCGUAAAUAUGAUACAUGAAGUGGUCUGAUUCAUAUCAUGCAUUAGUAUUUAGAAGAGUUAAUAGCGUUUUGCCCCCUGAAUGUAAGGAGUAACAACACUUUGUUCCCGUCAAUGAAGAAAAGGCACUUACCCACUCAAGAAUCUUUUGUUUGGUAUUUGUAGCAGGUAUUCUUUUUUUUUUGUAAAAAGUAAGAAAAUGAACUACUCAUAUAUGUUGACAAUUCCACCUCUAUAUUAUCUUCAAUCAAAUUAAUCUUGUAGAAACAAAGUUAUAACCUCCGCCUCCCUCCACCACUUCCCCUCAAUUUCAUAUCAUAGAGUUGUCAACAGUCUAUUUUUGGGAAUACUUGACACAAGCUCCAACUGAAAUAUUCUCAAGCAGGCAAAGAGCUUACUGUUUUUCAUUGAGGGGCAAAAUGUUAUUACCCACUUUCAGGGGGACAAAGUGUUACUAGCCAUAUUUAGAAUGCGAGCACAGAGACACAACAACGCCCCGGCUCAUGAACAUUAAACUGCAACUUAUACGAAAUUGUUGAACGUUUCUGGAUUUCUGCUCCCUACCAAAAGAUUUCCCACUCAAAUAAAGCUAGGAUCCUAUAAAAAAAAAAGAAAAAAAAAAGAAAAAGAAAAUAGAAGAGCAAAGAAUUGUGAAUCAAAAUGCCGUGACAAACUCCACAGACUGUCGAUAUUCCAUGAUCCAUCCCUCCAACUGCAAAGCAUGGUCUCCUUUCUCAAGUCCGUGAGAGUCGAAAGGAUCUGAAAUUUUGCAUUUUUUUUUCUCUUAUUUGCGGAGUCAAGUCAUGUAUAAUUCCUAUGGAACUGCAAAUACAGACUACAAAACUGUAUCAGCUCGGCUUAUUAUAUACAUGGAAUCCGCAAAAAAAAGGCCACUUUGUACUCGGGUAACUGCAUGGCCUAGAUUAUCUUGAAACAUGGAACUUAAUAGAAUUGCAGGACGCCAGUUAUCGUGAUGGGGGGAUCAAUCCCUACACGAGUAGCCUUCCCUUCCGUAACUAACUGUGGCAAUGCGUUGGCAUCUUUGGCUGCAACUCCUUCACCAGUCCAUAAUGUGACAUGAGGCCACUGGUUUUUAGAAGUUAUCUUUUCACCAUUUACCGAGCCUGUGUGAGCUUCUAAUGCUGCCAAUUUCCCAGAAAAUAGUAGCGCAGUUAUAUCCACAGGUACCCUUUCAUUAAGAAACGAGCCAUAAUUUGCAACAGCAGUAACACCAUGACUUCUCUUGUGAGCCAGCGUCACAUGAGCUUUUGUGAGACUAUCCUUCAGAUUUUUCUCCUUGAAGAAGGUUUCAAUGUUGGAUCCUUCUCAGCUAUCUGACUCAACAAAGGAAACAAUACAAAAUCUGUUAUACUGAUUUUCAUACCAUAAAUUCAUCAUAAGAGAAAUGAGGGAAAUGUGAAACCAAAUCCUUGAGUAAACAAGAAAACAGCAAAGAAAGAAGUAAAACGUAUUCAGCAAUCACAUUGCCAAAUUUCCUGGCUCUUUUUUUCAUUUCCUUUUUUUUUUUAAUUAAAAAGAAAAGGUAGUAUGCGACGCAAAACCAGAAAAGGUUAUCCAUCCAGAAUGAAAUGUGAAUGCCACGUUGAUACUUGCUUAACCCUUCCCAGACCACGCUACAAAUUAUAGACGUAAGAAGACCAAGACAGAAAGGUCCGUAGCUAUUAUCAACUACACAGAGGACUUCAGAAUCUCAAAUUACGUAUGCCACAUGGUUCCUCAUGAACUUCUAGAAGAGCAAGUGGAAUGAGGCAAGACCUAUCAUGGGUCUGAAGGCUAUUCAAUUACAAAAGGUUUUGAAUCUUCAUGGAAAAACAGAAUUGGACUGGAAUUGGAGUAUCCAUAAAAUUUAACGUUCUACUCAAGUGCUACAAGCCCAAUUUAUAUCCAAUUAAGUUCCCAUCCUAAAGAACCAAAGAUAGAAUAAAGAAAAUCUCACUAAAUUUACUAUGCUAUGCAAGAGAAAACACUUGUUAACUCACCCUUUGGAGGAAUUGAUGGAUUUCUGCAACAGGCAAACUCACAGCAGCGUAUACAAUAGCCCCAAGCCUUCUUUUCUCAGUUACUGGUGCUGAAUACUCACCCUUUGCAACUGCUUUUAGUUGUUCCAAGACUUGCUUGACAGCAAAUUCAAAUGGAACCUGAAAGGACAUAUAAUGAGAAACCAACACAGUGAAAUUAAGAACUCCACCCCACAAAUGAAGGACAAGAUGUUUGACCAGAGCAGAUUUAUUAUGGUUGUUUUCCCCAUUAAUUAUAUAUGUUCACAUUUUAGUAUGUACAAACCCAAGUGAGGAGGUUUGCUUUGGACUUGGUGUGGGCUUCAAGGUUAGGCUAGUUCAGCUAAUUCUUGUGUAAUAAGCUUCCAUGGCAAAAGCCUCCAAGCAAACCACUUAUGCAUCAUAUUGAUCCUCAGUGCACCAAGUUCUUCAGGAAGAGGGUAUUACUAACUGAUGUGCAAAUGAAAAUGAUGAUAGGAUAUUAUACAAGCAUCCAAACCAAAUAGGCAUUCACCUGCACCGAAUCAAGGUACUCAGAAUUGCUUAAUAAAAUCUCUCGCAAUUCCUUCUCCCAUUUAGUCCAUUCUGUUGCAUAGGUUCCUUUGGUUGACUCCAAUCUGAAAGAAACACAGCUCUCGACUGAAUCAAUUGGGAAACCUCCUUUAUUAUGGUUCUCAGGACACAAAUCCAGAACAAGAUGGAAAUAUGAUUACCAACCUUCCAUGCCUGCUUGUGUGAAGCUUGUACAGGUUUAUCCCCUCUUCCAAAACAGAACUCACAGAAACAGGUAGAGGAGACCUACAGGUAAAGGUAAGAAAGAAAGACACACUUGAAGCACAUUAAAUCAGAAGAAAAUAAGCAUGUCUCAAUUUGUAGCCCUCAGGAAAGGAAGGAACUGAUUAUACCAUUAAAGAAACCAAAGGGAGAAUGGAAAUAACAUGUAUAUCAGAAAAAACAACAUUAUAGACACAGUACCGACUUAACAGUUUGUUCUGAUAUAAUCCAUACUGUAAAUACUUCUAUGAUAAUGAAAUGAGUAUCUUGAUAGAUCACAACCAAAUUGCGCCUAUUUCAUUUCUAAGUUAGGGAUGCUUUGAAAUGCAAAUAUAUUGGAAGGAGUUGACGAGAUUACAGAGUUAAAAUCAAAUAUUUUCUUUACGUUAGCAAAGAUUAGUAAGCCAUAGUGUAGACAAAAUUGACUAUAGAAAUUGGUGGGGGCACCAGAAAGUGGAUAAGUCAACAGAAGCCCAAAAGUUUUAGUGGCAAGCAUGUAAAGCUCUUUGUUUUUAAGAGACACUGUACACCAUAACUAUGUACACUAACCUGAAGUGUUGAUAAAUUACCUUUGCAGAAGAAAAGUGAGAAAGUAAAACUAUAAAUAUGGUUCUAAACAUCCACAACAUUUGUCCUCACCAGGAAGACUGAUCCAAUUUUAAGAAAUUCAAAAGUUUAAUGACAGAGAUCUUCAGAGUAGAACAGCAGACCUAUUAGGCUUCAGUAAAGGCAUCUUCACAAGAGAGCCAAAACGUUCAAUUAACUCGGCCUCAAACUCCUUGCGGCUCUGAUAAAGAGCGACAAUAAGAUAAGGAAGAAAUUUUAAAUAAGCAACAACCAAAAAAUGCGUGGAAAAACAACUACCUUGCCCUGGUAAAGGUGGUAAAACAUUAGCAACACAUAGCCAACAUUUGGAGAGGACUUGUCAAGGUUCCCCUUCAAGUCCCAAAAAAUAAAUAAAAUGUCAGCAACAUUGUACUCGAUUUCCUAGGAGGUGUGCAUCAUACAAACUACUGAAAACGAAAGUGAGAAAUACCGGAUGAUUAACACGGUGAAGCACUCGAUAUAUGAAAACAGCAAGUGCGUCAAGUGAAAAUGGAUUUGAUUCGGUUCCUGUAGAUUUAACCCAUUAAGUUCUACAUACAUGCUACAUGAAGCUAAUUUACAAAUCUAAUUAAUGAAAACUGGGAACAAUUUUAUUCUUGAAUCCUAGCAUAUUAUUUCACCAAGCAAAUAUAAAAGUAGACAUCUGGAAGGAAUUAAAAUGUCAUUUGAAAACAAAUGUGAAUUGGGAAGAUUUUACAGAAUUAACAUAUCAUAUGAAUUACAUAUAAAAUUGCCGCAGAUCCCUGAUACUAUCUGCCAGAGCAAUGAAUGAAAAGAUCCACAAAUGAAAAAGUAAAGAUCGCUGUUCGUAUCAUACCGGCGCAGGCCCUAUGCAUUUCUUAGACUUACAACCUCUAUAAUAUGCAGCUAUAACUUCACAAAAAACUCAAUUAAAAUAGAAUUUCAUAACCUUCUCUAGAAGACUAAACCCAGAAAACAAUUAACCCAAUCCAUAUUGCAGUCCUAAAUGAUUAUGGUAUAGGGAGAUUGGCUCAGAAAAUUAGCCAGAAUGAACGAACACUUCGAACAAAUAGGGCUUUAAAAGACCACUCUCCCAACUAUCCAUUUAUAUAUUACUUAAAUUGGAGAGAAUUCUACAGAAAACACAAGUACUCUGAUGGUCAGACAUUUCUGAUGGUCAUAAGCGAAAGCACUUGAUGACCUAAGAUGGUUGACUACCCAUUUCUCUCUGUACUACAUGAGCAUGCUGCUUCUACACUAAGGAAUCACAUACAUCCUUCUUGCACAUGCAUGUGAACGUUUCCUACACGCUAGUGACAAUCAUGCAGCAAGUGCAUAGUGGUUGGACAUGGUAAUUCCUACCCUUUAGCUGCAAUGAUUGUUGACCGAUAAGUCAGGAAAUAACAUUUAACAAAUGAAUCCAAGCAAAUGUCCAAAUUACACAACAGAGGAAAGGACAACAUAAGAGUGCAAAAUAGCAAAACAAAUACUUUCAACAAACAAGCCAUAUAUACUCUGUGAGUGAGAAUAUAGAAGAUCAAGAGAAUGAAACAAAUGCUAGAAUAGGACCUUCUGAAUCUGGUACGACCGGAACUGCAGAAGCUUUGGUGCGUCGGCACAUGUCCUCAAUCUGGAGAAAUUAAAUGAAACCUCAUCAAGCAAAAUCCAAAGAAUAAAUGAAAGCAUAAAGGAGAACAGCAAGCCCUCCUUCCGCCGGCCCAAAACACCCCAGUCCAAGAUAAUGGAGCACAGACCAAGAAGAAAAAGUCCCCACACCCAACUUCCUUUGAAGGAAAAAGUAGAAAAAACAGGAACAUUGUGUGAAAAAACAGGAUGCUAAUAGGUGAUACGUAGUUCAACAGGUAUAAAACGAAAAGGAUUGGAAAAAAGGAAAAAAAUGAACAGUGAAAUUUAGCAAAUUUGGUCCAUACAGGCAAAUUGUUAGUAGUCAGAUUCAUUAACAAACUCAAGGGAAUGUGAUCUCAACAAGUAACCUGUUUCCAAACUUCCUCGUUCGGUGCAUUCUUGUCGGCAAGCAUUAUCGAAUAAGGCUUUCUCCGGCGUUCAUCAGCAACCUUCUGCCAAUACCUACCUAUUGAAAUUUAAUGCACCAAGAGUAAAUACAGUAUCAGAAUCUAGAAUGAGCAAGCCAAUCUUAUAAUGAGAUUUAAGAAGCAAUCCAAUCCCCGCUCUUUAAGGGAGGAGAAAUAAUAUGGAAGUUGAUUCAAUUCUUGGAGUGGAAUGAUCACAAGAACGCAAUGAGGCAUGCAAAAUGAGUACCCAUAUCAUCUUGCCUUCCUCAACAUUUCGAUGUCUAUCCCCAUAUGGUACAUGUGCCCAUUAACCAUCCACUAAAUGAGAUUUAGUGACCUUUACUAGAAUAAAAUGUCCAAUGGAAGUAUCCCAAGAUUUCAGUUUUCAUCAUUUUAAUCUACUGUAUUUCCAGUAAACUUCCUAUUGGUACUGGUUUAGUAGUAUAGCCAGCACAUGAUGUACCAAUUGAAACCAUGAUCUCUGAUGUCAGAGCAGAAGGUUCAUCUCUAGUCAUUUAUAAGACAUGCAAUAAGCUGAACAUUCAGCACGAAAUCUUAAGCUUUGCAAGAGCUUUCUAAACAGGAAAGGUCUUAAAAAUUGAUAAUCUCCCGAUAGUUGCGAUUGAACAACAAAAAAUUCGCACAGAAAACCAAUUCAAUAACACUCUACAGAUGAACCUGUAUGUUUAAAAUGCAUCAGAUAUUUAGAAUGUCAUUGAGCUCAUACCUUUGAUAAGAUUUCAACUAGCAUGUGAUAGAAAAAGAAAUCAGAUUAUACAUCUAGUGGAUUUCUAAGAUAUAUAAUUAACAAGUUCAUGAUCAUCAGAUGGAACAUACUUCUAUUCUCUUACCCUCCCUACCUAAAUGGAACCAAAAGGAAAUGAAGGAGCUCAAUGAUUGUCAACAUUAAAUAAGCAUCAAUAUAAUAUUCAAUCUAAACCCGAUAUAUGUCAAAAAAAAAAGUCAAUCCAGUGAUCUCAAGAUGAAUAGGCUGGCCCACAAUUUUCCCAUCCAGCCAUACCUGGAAAGAAGACAAUGAGGCCCUCAUCCUUGGCAACUCUGUCCUUAACUGUAGUUACUGGUCCUGCAUCCCUCUCUUGCUCAAGGUCACCCUCUUCAUCUCUUCCUCCCUCAAUAAUGGCCAAGAAGUCUUCUGAUCUUACUAAGUUUCCAGCAGAUCCUAUCAAAGCUUGAUUUUGUGGACUGCGCUUUGCAUAUUGCUCCAGAAAAGGCUCAGCCUCACUAAGGUAUACAGAAGAAGACAGCAUUUUGUGUCCAUACUUUCUGCGUAUGUAUACUGCCCUGAGAAAGAGGUUAGAUUAUUAGAUGCUUCACAUAAAGAAAUGUAAGUGAUCAUGAAUGAAACCAUGGAAAUGAUUCCAACAUUACCAUUCAUCGAGCAUUUUGCUCAAUUCCCUUUGCUUUGUAGGUGAAGUAUUCCAUAUCUUCAUUUGUCUACAGAAACAGGAAAUUUUUAAAUGAAAAGUAAGCAAAAUAUAUCUGCUGUAACAGAUUCUUUCUAUUCUUAUUGAGACCUUUAAGCUUCACCAAAAUUUCAUUUACCUCAAAUAGUAGGCUUUGUAGGCAGAUGGACCUUCUUUAAAGAGAAUAGACAAGCCAUUCCUGAUCAAAAAGGUUCGCAACUGCACCAUAAAGAAUCAAAUAAGAAACUAAAGAGUACUGCCAUGAAAUUAGUUAGUGUCCCACAAAAGAAUGUUCAUUUAAAAGUUCUUAGAGUUGAAAACAGAAGUUCUUUAAAAUUUCCAUGAAGUAGCAAAGGGAAAGUAUAUGAAAUUUCCUUCAUGUCAUUAAAGUUGAAAAGUUCUUUAAGAAUUAGGUAAUUGGUUUUGAAAGCUGGUUAUUUACAUACUCCAAGGAACUAGAAGUUCAAAGAGAAAGUUAUCCAAAACUGUGCUUACAAACCAAACAUUCAUUCCCUGACUUCAAAAAUUCCUUGACUUUCCACUGUUCCUUCAAUCAAAACAAUGUCACAGUUUACACUAAAUUUCAUUCCUUGGCUUUCCACAGUUCCUUUGAUCAAGCAAUAUCACAGUUUUACACUAAAUUUCAGCAAAUGAAAUUAAAAAAAAAAAACCAAGUUAGAAGAUGCAUUGUAAUUAGCACAGUAGAAGCCAACUGAGGAAAGGAAGAAAACAAAUGUUGUAUCUGUAUACUUAAUCUACAAUUUGUACCAUUGUACUUUCUAUCUGAAUAUCUGUUGUUUCAAUUUCAAUCAACAAGCAAGAUAUAGUUAAAUGAUAGAAUUAAUGAUCAACACUUGAGGAAGGUUUAACGGAUAAAACAGAAAAAAUUCACCACCAAUGAUAUGAUUAAAGGAUCUGUAGCUCAUUUUAAAGAGCAUGCAACAUGCUAGAAGCAUUGGGAAACAAGUAGAUUAACUAGAAAUCUAGCUCCAUAAAGCACCUCCAAGGUGUAAUACACCCAGGACUUCUCUGUCAAUACCCGACAUCCUUGACAGAAAGUUUUGACAUGUGCACAGAUCAUCAAGUGUAAUAAAGCAUGCAUCAACUAGAAAUUUAGGACCCUAAUUAUCGCCCAAGUAUUACUACAUCCAAGGCAAGAUAUCUGAAACAGCCCUUGAAAAGAUAACAGAAAAAUCAAGGUAGUUGCAAAUAGUAAGUGCACUGGAGUUGAAUGCACAAAAUUUCUUAUAACUACAAUAGGCACACAUGAAGCAGAAAACCAAGCCUGACUAGGCUCAACCUAAUAAGAAUGGUGAUGCAUUUCAGUCAAGUAAAGAGGAUCGCGGGGAAUGUCAGUUGCAGUUUACCUUAUAUGUGAGAAAUUUCAACUUGAUCAUCAGAUUUGCAUCUUCAUCAGCUAAACUCUCAUUUGUGAAAGUGCCAUUAUUCUCAUCAACUUUUUUUGCACCCUUCUCCGUUCCAGCAAUUUCAGCAGCCUUUUCCUUGUCUGCCUUGAAUAAGUUUAAGUCGACAAAGAAACCUGUCAAAAAAAUCACCAAUUAGCAUCCAACAGAGAAAAGUAUGUCAUUAUUAGUCAAAAGGAUAUUCAAUCGUACAGAUAAGGAAGCUGAGAAUUGCAAAACAUCUACGAAAAAGAAUGAAAAGCAGAGGAAGAAGAAAGGACUAUAGCUGAAUUACAAAGCUGAUGGUACCAAAAGCAAUAUGGAUAAAGCAAAAAUGGCUAAAGCUGGAAUAGAGCUACAAGAAAUAGACAAGCAAGCAUCAAUUUUCUGAAAUUGGCUACCUCCUCCACUAUUCUCAGCAUUUGAAAGGAUUAGAGAAGAAGAAUGGAUUUAAUCCCUAGUGCAAAUCCCACAAACUAACUGGAAGUCUACCAUAUGACCAAUGGCACAGCUGAAACCAGUAAAAAAGCAAGCACAGCAGUGAGCUUACCUCGAUAAAGUGGCCACAGUCCUGGUUUGUUCCUGAGACAUGCACAUCCCAACCCGUUAUUUCAGUCAAAGAAUGAAAAACUACAAAAAUAGAUUUAGCAGCAAAAGUAAAGUUAUUUCCCAUCAUUAAGAUAUCAAGACAAAUUAAGUAAAGACCUCAUCUCUUUUUGAUAUCGCCGAAAUGCUGAAUCACUGUGUACAUGGAUCACCAUUUUGAAAUGAAGAUUAUUGCUAGAGACAGAGUUGAUCUUUUGAUAGUUAUGGUACAAUUUAAAAGCAGCUGGAUAGCGGUUUUCGCGCAUCAAGCGAAUCAUUUCCUGAUUGAAAUCAUCAAUCAUAGAAAUGUUUGGUAAGAUCAAUUGAAUAAACUCUUGCAAGAAAAUUUGACAGAUUUUGCAAAAUGAGUAUAUAUAAACUGGGAAAUGACAAUAAAAGAAUAUCAAAUGACAGAACCUCUUAAAGCAAUCUCAACAGGCAUUAAAAAACUCUUAGCUAAAUUUGUUUGACUGAUUUCAUUUUUAUCUGAAAUAAAGACAUUAAAUCAAAGCAAGACUCUUGGUCUCUUACAUCAAGCGCCUAAGAAAGGUUCCAAAAGCUCUCUUACUCCCACAGGCAAUGAGGCUUUAUUUGUAAAAGAUCAGUGGCACAACUUAUGUAUGAGAAUGUAUAAAUGAAUACACCAAACAUCUAUGUGGAGAUACAUUGUUACACGACCGCAUCAUGCAAAACAAUGCCAUUAAAAUGGAAGUUAAAGGGAGAUACAUAAAACACCACCUGCAACUUUAUUGUAGAAAAAUCAGCAGGCUGUGCUUGCAGGAACUUUGUAAGAGCCGAACGAUCAACAUUUCUUGAAUGUGGGUCGGACCCUUCAUUCCCAAACCAAUCCAGAUAGUUUGGGCAGAAGGAAGUGCCAACGCUCUGCAGAAGUGCCUUGAUUUGCUGCAAGUCAUGUAAGAAGCAAAAUUGAUAACACAUCACGAGAUACUUGUGUACCAUAAAACUUCAAAUGUUAGGAAAGCAUGUUAUCUGUUGAGGACGAAGGUUACCUGCUUCUCAUCAGAUCUAUUUGCAGCACAAAUUUCUCGCAGGCUAGCUCCUAAAUCUUUUGCAUCUGCCACCCGAUACACAAUCACAUACAAUUACUACACAUGCUUAAUUCACAAUUACACAAACCAUAAGUACGUCCCAGUAGUUUCCUUCCACCUCAGAACUAAAGAAGUAUCAGAGAGAGAGAGAGAGAGAGAGAGCAAACACAAAAAGAAGGAAGCAAAGGCAAUUUCAGUUUGACAGCAAAAGCAAGAACAAGCAAUUGUCCAGAUAAUAAUAUUUCAAAAAAGCAAGUCCCAUAAUUCCAGUAUUUUACAAAUCAUUUUACCAUUCACGACAAAAUAUUUUAGACAGCAAACCCUUAUUUGAACCUUUUCUGUUAUCUCUUUAAUGUAGAUUUAGCAUUACAUGUGCAAUCAGAGAGUGGAGCUUCAUCCAAAGCAGGAUCAACCAUUAAUGGUCUAUAAACUCAUUGAAAGGUGACUUUGAGUUCAAUGGCUGAAUACCCACUCAGUGACUCCUAUAGCGUGACCAUGUUCAUCAAUACUGAAGGUGAAAAAAUAAACCUGUAAACAUGUUUAGCAGUUUGGAAGUGGCUUAAAAAAAGGCCAAAAAAAAAGAGGUACAGCAGAGUGAAUCGAGACAUCUUAAAUUUGUUGCUUAAGAUACGAUAGAUACAUAUCACUUGCUCGAGCUAUUUAAUAGUAGCAAAACAUAAGUUGAAAUUUCCUGGAUGGUAAGAAAGAAACUUCAUUGACAAUAAUCUCUGGUCAACAGAGAGAAGCAACUCAGUGACAAUUGCUUUUCCCUUCCUUUCUAACCCCUCAAGUUGAGUAGCACAAACAAAAUCCCACGUGAAAGUUGUUUCACAACAUCUAAAAACACUAGGCACACAGUCAAUAGAGAAGAUAAUUCCAGAUGGAAAUUCUUUGAACUUCCACAAAGAGCUAAUGAGGGCCAGCAAGAUUUAAGCACUUGAACAACCAAAAUUACAGAGAUACAGCAUGAAAUUUUACCUAGAUUCCUGUUACUUACAAUAAGAAACUAUGCCUUAAAAGCUUACACUAGUCUGUGCGUGAUUUGAACUUCUUAAGCAAAGGAGAUUGUUCACAAAUUGCAACCAAAAUUUUAAGGCAACCAAGAGAGAGAGAACAUGUUUUUCACACAACAGAAAAGGGAAAAUACUUUUUACCUUCAUCCACAGUAGGUAAAGGAAAAUCCCUUAGAACUUGUUCCAUGUCUUUUGAACUUUCAUGGCUUACUAUGCGAGCCACAAGACCUUCUAAAAUUUCGCCUUGUACCUUUAUGUGGUCUAUUGAUCCUGCAGCCAGUGAAAGAGAAAGGGCAAAAUUUUAGGAAUAACAAAAUACCUUGAUAAUUUACAGAUGUCAUAAAAGAAAGAAAACAACUCUGUCAAUUUAAGAAAGGCUCUAACAAUUACAGUAAUUUCAAGGCAAGAUGCCAUGGGCAUAUAUUUAUAUUAAAAAAAAACAAAAACAAAAGCAUAAGAGAGUUGGAGGAAUAAAGUCCACUAGCAUUUAGUACAAACUAUAGCUAGGAACCUUAGGCCAGCUUAAGACUUGAUGCCUGUACUGUCUAAAAGAUCUAAUUUGCAAUCAAAGCAGCACCAGCUGCAUGCUACUAACAGAACCAUACCGGCAUACAGUGCUGGACCACAUUAAAAUUGAAAAUGAAAAAUAAAAAAGUUGACAAGAAAAGGUAGAAUGAUGGUGAUGAGAAGAACUAGGUCUUAAAUUACAACCCAAUGAUGGAGGACGAACAAGUGCAACUGUGCAAGCCUAAUAACAAAUAUUCUGGAGAAAAUGAUAAGCAUCCAGCUACGAAGAAGAUAAAAUAUGACAUCUGCCCACUAAUUCUCUCUAAGUGCCUGUGUGGAUGGAUUGAACAACAGUCAUUUUCAUCUCGUAACAUCAGCUAUUAAGAGCCAAGAUCGAGUGGUUAGACUAAGGCAUCAGAAAAUGGAUAUAAAUCAGGUCUAUGAGAAUUGUAAACAAUAAAAGUCUUAGCUCACCACGAAAUCAAAAAGAGAUUAGUAACUAAAAAAAGCAGGGUCAUCAAGUAGAAUAUAAGGGACCACAAUGUUUAAAAGGUUUGCAGAAUGGUGAUUCAGCAGUAGCUGUCAAGGUGGUUGGUUUAUCUUGAUUUGCAUAGGAUAUCAUAGAAAAUACUAGAAAGCCAACAUCAGGAUAUGCUGCUGGUUGUAUAGCAUGCCUAAUGACAGUUAAGUAGCUGGUAUACAGAAGAAGCACAGUGAGACAACCAUGGCAAUACUAGUAACCUGGUCCGAUUCACAGACAAAAAAGAAUUGCAGCCACCUGCAACUGUAAUGUGCUAUACCUGAUCUAUACUGAAACAACAAAGGUGCUAAAGCCAAAUUUGGAGGACAAACAAGUUAUCAAAACUUGAGCUUUCCAUGGUUUCAACAAAUCACAUCAAAUCAACAAGCUUUUGCUUUACAAAUAAAGGCACUGUUCUCAAAUAAACUUCACCUGGAACAGAUAUAUCUGCAACUUCGUCAAGAGCCUGACAAACAGGAGAUGCUGUUCCUUCUUCACACAAUGCAUCGUAUGCAGCAAAAAAGGAUGUCACCGACUUCCUAUAGUAUUGAUGCAAAAUAUGUAUCAGGGCAACAACUUUCAUCUUAGAUUGCCAAAAGUACUCCAACAAAAAUAAAUAAUAAAGAAUAUUUUCUCCACUAGCUAGAAACAAUUUCAUUUAGUAAGAUGCCUUGUAACUAGUUUACCAAAAUACAAAUAAAAAGGAAGAGUUAAUCACAAAAUAAGAUGCAAGUACACUAAGACAAAAUUUCUGCCAAUUGCACUUGUUUAAGAAUCACCAAGGAAAUUUUGAUCAAUUAUGUCAAAUGAUGAUACAGCUAUUCAUGACCAAGCUCCUGUUUUGAAUGCUUAUACCGAAUAGAAAAAUCUUAAAAUACACAUAGAUGAAAGAAGGGAGUGCAUUAAGAACAGAAAAUCAAUAAACAUAGACUUCCUCUAAUCAUAACCAAUAUAAUGUUUGUAGUUCCAACCUCAGUACUGAUUUCCAAACAUUAAGAAGAGAAGAAUUACAAAGACAUCCUAUUAUAAUGAAGAAAGUGCAACAUCAAUCAAACUGAAAUCUACAACUACAGUUGUAUUCUUUCUUAAAAACACACAUAAAAGAGCAAUACCUGGUGGAGAGCAACCAGACAUGAUUUGUUGGAAGACGCCACUUCCGGCAAAAAGCUAUUAUUUCUGGAGUAGAAUAAAAUUUUGGUCUCCCAAUGCCCAAUUCUGUGACUGCUGUCACAACCACUGCAAGACAAGAUAGACGAGGCAUACAAGCUGAAGCAUGAGAACCAGACUUUCUGCCAAAUCAUAUCCAUCAAACUAAUUAUGAAAACCAAAACCUAUGGCUCUGCAAAAACAGUUGCACAAAAUUGGAGCUCUGCCAGACACUGGAUAGUUUAACUGUUUACAAUUCUAAGAUCUAUUAAUUUGAAAUGAAUGGCAGGAAGGCAGCAUUGAUCAGCUAACAAGAACUAAGCCUGAAGUAACAAUAACUUGAGUUACAGUAAGUGCCAAAUACAUAUAUAAACCCUCUUUGCUGGUUGAGAAUGCCAAAAAAAAAAAAAUAGCAAAAUAAUUGAAAAGUUUGGCCAGCAUAUGGUAGCACUUGUACCAUCCUUCCAUAACUACCAUGACUGCAAAAACACAACUGAACAAGUUACCAUUCUUGCAAAAAUACAUUAACUGUUGAACAAAUUGCAACUACUUAAAUGCUUCAAUUUUUAGCAACCUUCAGAAAAAAGUGCGCCACCAUACGUCAAGGUAUUGUGUCCUUUCAGGUGUUAUCAUCCCUCAAAAUAGAAUAACCAAAAAAGUUUAAUCUUCCAUGACCCAGAAAAAGUGUAUCUCAGCUUCAAUCAGUCAACAGAAGGAAAAGAAAAAGAAACCAGAAUAUCUGACCACAAAAUAUACCACAUUAAUGUAUAGUAGUUGAUAAUUUUCUUUUAUGCCCUCACCAUAAUCUUCUCGAGGACGUUGUCCAUGGUCUCCUAGUACAGCAGUUACCAGUUCCAUUGAUAUGCACAUGCGAUUCCGCUGGAAAAAAUUCAAAGAACAGAAUUCAUCAAUUCAUAAGGACAAACAUAUUGCUCAAUUACUAUAGCUAUUGGGCAUCAUGUUAUGUGCCACAUGUAUCGACAAUGUAAAUAUGAAGAUGUUUCAGAAUGAUUAGUGACAGGGUAAGUGAUGCUCACAUAAUUACAAGAUUCCAGUUCCACUUGCAUAUGCCUUAUAAGAUGAAAUUUCUUGUUACUGCAGCAACGCCCCCCCCCCCCCCCCCACACACACAACACAACAACCAAAAAAAAAAAGAAAACCCCACCCCACAGCCCCUCAAAAAAAUAUUCAAAAUCAGCCAAUAACAUCUUGGUCCAUGAAGUAAUGGUUCCUAGGAUGAGCAAUCAAUACUAUUCCUCAUCUAUAAUCUAGCUACCAUUUUACUCUUCUAGAUUAGUAUGGUGAGAGAUUCAAAGCAAUAAAGUCAAGCCUAUCCCCCAGUUUAUUCUCAAGAUUCCACAGUGAAAUACCAAAAGAUAAGGGUUUCUAGUCUUCAAGAAACUGCAUAAAAAAUAUGACGAAGACAUGUAAAAACUACAAAAGCACAUCAAAAUCAUAACAUAAAUGCCUUACUCAACCAAGAUAGAAAGUUAUCAUUGAACAACUCCAAAAGACAACUCAAAACUAAAAGUUCCUCGCAUCUGUGCUCCAUCAAAGAAGGAUCAUUAUUUUAUUUCUUAUGAGUAGGCUAUUUGCACCUUAUUUUCAGUGCAUUAGGAUUUUGAUUUAAUCUAAAAGUAAUGACAUCUAGAUUUUGUUGCACAAUGUCUAAAAAAUAAUUCUGUGGAAGUACAUUGAGAAAUUCAUUGAACUCUGCUUGCUUCUUGGUUGCUUGAGCACCCCAUGCCUUGUGAAAAGUCCUCCCAAGCACAAAAACACCAACAGCAGUGUAACUGCAGAAAAUAAGAAAAGUGAAAACUUAAAUAGAAAAGUCAAGCCAUAUAAAUGACUGCUAGAAUGAUACACAUCCAAGAUUACUGACAUUAUACAGAAAAAGAUGCAUAUUUUUAUUCAUGUAAACUUAAAAACAACUCCAGCAGGCUGGAUGUUCUCAAAUCUAUUCCAUUGUGAUUACCAAAUAAUUCUCAGAAAUAGUAUAAACCUAGUGCACCAGAAAUAACUUUAACUUUAUCUUAUUCAUCAAACCAUGUGGAAUUCAUCUUCCUAACCAAUUGCACUACUGAACCAAGAAUCCCCUGCCCAACAUCCCAAUAGAAUAAAUGAACUCCCAACCUCUACAAACGUGUUUCAUUCAGUGAUUGACUGAAUCAUCUGAAUGCACUAUAAAGCACAUUAUAAAUUUUCACACAGGAGGAAAUGACUGGUUGAACACCAAACCAAUCAUGCUAACGGUUCAAGAGAAGAGAAAACUGAAUGUUAUAUUUGUUUAGCAGUUCCACCUUGACCUCCCCAUAAAACUACCCCCACCCAAGUAACUCCACCCAAAACGAAGAUCAACAAUAGCAAAGAGGCAUAAAAUCUCUCAGUAGCAUACCAGCAAUGGAGCACAGUUCAGUAAAUUAAGCAAACAAAAGCAAAAGCUCCAUGAAAUAAGGUAGGAAAUGAAUAGAGGAUGCAAUGGUUAAUCAUGAGCAUACACGUUGCCAAAGCUGUUCUUAGCAUAUGCUCCUCCCUCAUGUCCAGCAUACAUGAAAAGAGAUCCAGAAUGCUUGAGUGAUACCUGUUGAAGGCAUGAGAACGCUAGAGAAAAUGAGAACAAUGAUAGUACACACAUCAAAAGAAAAAAUUGAGCUCCAUUUCAGCACAACUGAAAGGAAAUUAUGGAACAAAAGGAUUUGUAGAACAGAAAAGCUAAAUUCGUACCUCCAAUGUGGCCAAGCCUUUCGACACCAUCUCUAUCAUUCUUACUCUAAUCUGGAACACGAGAACAAUCAAGAUAUAACUCAGAAGCCCACUAACAAGAUUUAACUAAUGCUCAAAAAAGCACAAUAAGCUAUACUUUGGAGACCAAAUAAUCGAUAAUAUCCAAUUGGUAUGCGGACAUUCCCCCAACCACAUGACUAAAGGAAAAGCAGGAGAGAAAAACAAACCUCAUGAUCAGACUUCUCAUUUUCAAAUUUGGGGUAAAAGGUAGCUCUUAUUUGCGCAUGCGAGUAUGUUGAAUUGUCCACAGUGAAGUUGUCCAGUAAAUUACCCUUAAACAAUUUGCUCAAGACAGCAUUAUUUAAUCCACCUGAUGCUGCUUGAGCUUCACCCCCCUGAGCCGGACCCACCACUUGAGCAGCUGGUCCUUUUUCAACUUCUACAGCCGUUGCCCCACUUGUUGUUCCAUAUGACUUCGUCUCCCAAACGCCCUGUCUCGGAUUGUUGUUCACCAAUCCUACCCCGGCAAACUGUUGAUCUGGGGGAGGAACACUGGACUCUCCAUCAUUUUGAGGAAUGCUUAAUGAACUAAAUUUAUCAGUCACAGCUUCCACACCUCCUACAGAAGAAACCUCUUUCGCAGUUGAUGAAGGCCUGUCAGAUUUUGGCUUCUCUAUCCAUCUUUGUCCUCUAGCUGCACUCCUUGGCUGCAUUUUCAUAAAUCAGAACAAUGAACAGACAAAUAGUGCCAACCAUUAUAAGAAAUUAGGAAAAACUUAAAUGAGCAUAUCCAAAAUACAUAAGGAUUUGGUUACCCUGUAUUCUACAUUUGUCCAUAAAAGGUAGAACAGAGGAUAAAAGGUAUCUCUUAAAAGGUAGAACACAGGAUAAAAGGUAUCUCUUAUCAAAGUUACUAACAGAGAACCAUAGCUACUAUUUAGAUGGCAAGCAUUUCUAAACAAAAUUAAGCUCAAUAAUGCUUACGUGUUCAAGUAGAUGACAAUGCUCAUCUUCCACUGUGAGUACCUUUUUUUCAAUCCUUUUUCUGUUUCCUUCUUAUAAUCACUCUUAUUGGUGACAGAAAUAAGGAAAAGAAAAAAUUAUUCAACAUUGUAAACCGAAAAAAAAAAUUUUCAACAUCCAAUUUUGCUUCAACAUCUUGACAUUUUACCCGCAAGGAGAAAAAAGAAAACAAUAGCCAGGGUUAUAAAAAUAAAAAUAAAGUACCAAGUUGCUACAGAUGCAGAAAAUUAGAGCAAGAAUAAAUACUUAGAUACCAAAAAGGGAAAAGAGAUAGCAUUUAAGUCCAAACUCUAAAUUCCUAUUUUCGAUCUUUAUAGCUCAUGCAAUCAAACAGUGACCAACUGCGAAAAUGUUACAUAUUUAAUCCAAAACACAGCACAAAAGUAGGGGCAAAAGCAGGUAAGAGAAAGGAAAGACUCGCAUCGCCAGGUGGGCUGACAGCAUUGCGAACACAUCACAUAUCCAUUAGACAGCUAUAACUACCGUGUUCGCAGAAUUUAAUCAAGUCUUCUAUAAUUAAAAGAAAAUAUAACCAAUUCAUCAGAUAAGAUCACAAAAAAAAUUGAAAUAAAAUACAGUCACGUAAUAUAUGCCCAUCUAAAUAGAGAAGAAAAAGAAAACCUGUUUCCGUUGCAUGGUGGAGUGAACCAGUGAGCUGCUGAAAGAGAUGGAGCGAGACCGGAGAAGAAGAAAGCUUCUGGAAGAAAUUAGAUGAUGAGGUGAAGAAUGAUAAUGCGAAGAGGAAGAAGAACGAGAAUAGAGUGCUAGAGUGAAACCAGAGAAUAUUCUCUGAGAAACCAGCCCCCUCGACAACAUCCAAGUUUUCCAGAUAGUACAACUUUGCUAUAAAUAGUAGGGAAGAAGAGUGGGGCGGUGAGUGGUAAAACUGCAAUAGCUAAGAAAUAGGACGUCAAAUACUAAUUUACGAGCACCGCGGACACCGCCUUAGACCGGCGUCGAAUCAGAAUCGUUCUACUGUGAGACACUGUAGAGUGAGGAAAAAAAAAUAAGGUGCAGCGCAACUGCUCAAGGAAAGAUUAAUUAACUCUUGGUCGCAGAAGACUCGUUCAUUCAGUCAAUGGAUUUGUUUGGAUUGAAAAUUAUUUGUCAAAAUUUAUUUGCUUAUAAUAUCAAUUUAAAAUAUCGCGGUAGUCUGUAAUCUAUAUCAGGUCGACGUAUCGUGGUCAUUUGCAGUUCACGCUUCCUCAGGUUAAUAUUUUAUUUGUGUUUUUCUCAUUUUUUACCUCGGGUUAACCUUCCAGGUCGUGGCCACAUGAUGACCAAUUUCUUAAUGGAUAUGUAGUCAUAAAAAAAAAAAAAAAAAUUCCAUGCGAAGGGUCUAGACAUUAAUUAUUGUCAAUUACUUUCUUAACUAUCUAAUCUCCCAGAAUUCCUAUUCGGGAUAAUAAUAGUUCACAAUAAGAUAUGCCUUGAUUUUCAAUAUACCAUUUUUGUCUUUUUGUUGUUAAUCAGACAAAUCUACCCCGUAAUAUGUCAUUUUAAAAGUUUUCCUUUUUAUCUCUACUUUUUUUCCUCUUUACCUUUUCUUCCCUUCUUUUGCCAUUUUCUUCUUUCUCCUUACCGUAUUUCGGUUGAAGGUGGCCCCUUCCACACUUGAAGGAAACUGAGUCUGACUAUUUGAAUAGGAGCAGGACGAUUUGAUUGACUGCACAUUUUCAUUUGAUGAAAAAAUGAAUUAGUUGUGCUAACUUCUGAUUCUAAAUCUCAGAGCCUUCAGCUAAUUUACUGCCUUUGCUUCCUAUGAGCGUUUUGAGGCAUGGGUUCUGCCUGCUUUUGUCAGCUCGCCAGGGACGCAUUUGAAAGAUCAAUCAAUGGCACAAGUAUGGCUCUAACAGAAUGAUAUAGAUUGCCUCUCUUUCAGCUUCUUCCUUCCUGCGGUCGAAUUCAACAACUUUACAUUCCAGUGAGCAAUCCAUGUGCCAAUGGAAUGGAGAUGUAAUAAUUUAUAGUGGAUAUUAUUGCAGUAUGGUAAAUGGUCUCCAAGUGAGUAAUGUGCCUUAGCAUAUUCACAAUAUUUAUGACUACCAAUGUUUGCCGUGGCUCUGUUGCUCUAAGCUGGCAGCUUAUUUUGUCAAACUAUAAAAGUCUAAGGUGAAGAAACCCCCUAGCAGUUCACAAUGUUAACUAUCUCCUCUUUGCUGCAAAAAAUUUCCAUAUUUCGGCGUGUAAACACUUACUGUCAACUAAUGGCCUGUCUUUAUGCUUCUAAAUCAGAACUGUUAAAGCAUACUUGAGGUACACUCUCUGUCGGCAAAAAACUCGUCUGGGGGAUUUCACCAAGUACUUCCAGGCCUUCUGUGCCCGUGUCUUCGGUGUCUUUUAUCGUAGGUGUUUGAUCCACUUCUGGAGCCAGCGGACCUUGAGGGGUUCCAAAAACAGUGGUAAAUAUCUGUCUAUGGCAUUCACCGCAGAGAUAAAAAUAGGUGAAAUGGCCCUCAUAUAAGAGCUUGUGCACCAUGGCAUCUGGUAGUACUCGCUGCACAAAAUCGCUCAUUGCUGGAGGGACAACCUUAUCAUCCAUUCCCUGUUUGACGUUGGCAAUUCAAGAUGCAGCAAAAGAAAGUCGCCAGAAUUAAUAUGGUGCUCAAGUUCUUGUUUUCAACAGAACAAGCAUAAAAUGGACAUCUUGCCUUUGUACAGAAAAUAGUUGUAAUAAACAGAAAUGACUUAUUCGUUAAACAGUUUGAGAAUUUGGCACGCCAAUUGCCCAAUGUCAAAGCAAUCAGGGUACAGGAGACUGCAAAAUUCAAAGAAUUUGCUGAUCAUAGUCAUCGUACUACAAAAAGCCUUCACAAGCAAUUCGUUUAAUGGACUUCUAUCAACAUGGUUUAAAAUCUUAUGACAAAAUAUACCAGUCACAACAGACAUGAAGUCAUCAAUUGCAUCAAAACAAAGGGAACUAAAAUCCUCAGAAAACAGUCACAUUCCUGAGAUAGAUGAGAUUCUUUUCAUGGUAAAGUCAAUUAAAGCAUACUUGAGUAGCAAUGAUGCAGACAAUACACUCACCUGCCAUAUGUGAAUUGGACCAAGGAAUCCAUUCAUACUUUCAUCUUCUUGUUCAUAUAUGGAUUUGAGCCAAACCAGAAAGCCUUUUCCCUUGUGUUUCUUUUUUACUUUGAGUUCAGUAAGUUUGAAACCCCAAUUUGAAACCUGUAAGACGGCUUCCUGUACAAAAGGAUUUGCAUUCCCUUGUCGAACAGAUUCUUCCACAUCUCUUUGCCAGGACUCUUUGAACAGUGGAUGCUCUAUCAAUGCUCUAUCCUAGAAAGAGCCAAGAUUUGAGUAAAGAAUGUCCAAAAAGGAAGUAAUUUACCCUCCUAUGCAAAUUUUGUUUGAAUAGCAUUAUAGUAUAAAAAUUAAAUCAAUAAACAAUUAAUUUUAUGGUUUCCAUACUAAAUCUUACCACUAUUCUUCAAUUAGUUUAACUAAAACAAAUCUUGCAAACAAAAAGAUGUCAAUGCAUUUCAAACAUCAUCAGAGUCAAAAACAGAAACCAUAGUCAAGAUUACUCACCCUAUUUCCAAGUGCCAAUGAAAGCCACUUGUCAAUUUGACCAUGUUUCCCAGACAGGAAGCUUCUACGAUAGAAAUAAGGGAGUAAUCUUGGAAACUUUUUAGCUAACGUAUACAUUAGCUUCUUCUUUCCAGUCCAUUUUGCCCACAUUCUACGCCUCUCUUCCUUAGUCAUACUUGGGUCAUAUGGAUUUACCAUCGGAGCAACCAUGAUAGCACCUUCACGUUAAAAUCAAGGCAGGGUCAGAACCUCAGAACUGAGAAAGGAGGAAAGGCAUUUAAUUCAUCUCUCAUCAUCAGGGUAUGAGUAUUGUUCUGGUGACCGUUCAAAGCAGCCAUCAAUACCCACUGGUACUCAUGAAACAUAGCAUUUAUCAGUACAAUUCAUGUUGGAAUGUGCAUACAGAUGCAGAACCAUGAAAAAUAAAAAAAAUAACAGCAUAGGUAGACAUUAAAUUAUGGAUAAGCAUCCAAUGCUCCAAUAAUCUGGAAAAAACUAGCGAUCUCUCCGGCUUCACAUUAACCUUAUUAGAACUGGGGUUACCUAUGUAGUACCUUUGUCCAUUCAGUCCUCUUGCAGGAAAAGUUGCCCACUACAGAAAAAUUUAUGCAUCCUUAGGGUAGUGUAGGAUAACACUAAAUGACGAAUAACUUUUCAAUUUUUCUCUUCUGAAGAUAAAAUCAUCUUCAUGGCUGACUUCAAGAAUUAAAAGUUCAAAAUAGAUAAGUACCCUUAAACAGAAAUAUGCAAUUCAUUGAGACCGUUCAUGAAAGUAUGCAAAAGUGCAAAUUCUGUAACUUAAAGUCCAAAAUUGACAAAUCAGCCUACUUGAGCUUAAACCAGUUACUUCAUAAGAGUAAACAUGAGAUCAUGUUCAAACAUCAAUCAAUCAUGCAAAGGAUGAACUGACCUGCCACCCUAUCAGGAAUGAAUCGAAGGGCAGCCCAAGCAUGUAUGCUCCCACCAGAAAAUGCCAACACCCAGAAUUUGUCAGUGAUAUUCACACUAUAUGAUAGAUGUACCAUAUCCAGAGCCGAUGAUUCAAGGCCACGAUCAGGAUCAGGAUCGCUUUCCCCAAAUCCUGGAAGAUCAAAUGUCACAAGCCGAAUACCGAAUUCUUGCAGAAGGGAAUCCCUAAUACCUGGUAUUCCUGACAUAAUAAAAUUUUGGAAACAAACAAGUGAAAUGUGAGGUUAAACCACUCUUUGCUCAUCAGAUCCUUGGUUAAGAAUGUGUUGCUUCAUCUCUAUAGAAUCUACCUGCCAAACGAGAUGAAAGAAAAGAAUGUGGCACAAUCACAGAAUAUCUAGCCUGGUCAGCAGGGACACCUUGCUCCUUAUAAGCCAAAUAUCUACCGUUUGGAAGCAAUAUACGAGUAGCACUUGGAGGGUGUAUGCACAUUUUCUUCACCAAUGGAGUAGAAGUGUCGUGAUCAGUAUUUACAAUCAAUACUGCAGAUAGAAAGUGCAGUCAGAAUGAUCCAGCAGAAAUAGGAAGAAGAAUGAAAAGCAGGUGUGCACUAGGUUUCAGGAUGAAAAAAUUAUCUUCAUCGCCUCAUUCGUUUGACAACUAUAUAUAUGAUUGCUAACUGUGAAGUAGAAUCUAUGUUUAAUUGCUAACCACCAUUAGAAUAUAUCAAUCUCUGUUAAUUGUAAUUAGCACGUUUGAAAAUUUUAAUUGAUUACCAAGUAGAUAUUAAUAUCCAAACUGCAUUUCAUCAAUAUAAAUCAAUCCUCAAGAUGACAAGUUCUCCAUGAAUUUCUUUAUCUCGCUCCAAUAUUCCUUAGGAAGGUAAUCUCGGUUUUAUUUCUCUGUUGAUAGGCUUUGUUGUCCUGUCAAACUAAAAUUCGAAUCAUCUGUAAACCUCAGCCAAUCUUGCGUUUUAUCUGUAUACCUCAAACAUGUACAAACCUGUGCUGUGCAGUCACAUGCAUGUCCUAAAUCAAACUCAGCUGAGCAAAAUCAGGAUAAAAUAUAGCAUGUCAUCGCAAAACUUACAAUUACGUGGAUAUGCUACAUUACUUUCACAACUUAAAUAUUAUUGUAUAUUAUACUUGUUUACUCUGCUGAUUUUGAAACAAAAGAUAAUUACAAUCUCAAAACAAUUUAAAGCAGAAAAUCAAUCAAAGAGAAUCACUGUAAAACACUGUACCGGUAAAAGCGAGAAGUAAAACGAAAAGAAUCACAGUCCACGAUUGGACAGGAUCGCGAUCCUCGGGCAGAUACUCAUUCAAGAACCUUAAUUUUCCACAGAUUCUCUCACACGGUCCUCUCAACUUCUUCACAAUCACAGAAUCUUCCCUCACAAUGCUCUGCUUCACUACGUCUCUCACUCCCUUCCCGAACUCCACACUCAUCUCCGCAAAUCCUUUGGCAAACUCCACCACGUGAUACCUCCAGUCCUCCUCGGCCGCCUUCUUCGUGGCCGCCGCAGCAGUGCUCGUGGAAUAGUAUGAUCGAUGCGGUGGUCCGGUGUCGUCCUCCAGUCUCACGAACUCGUCUCCCCAUGUUGACCUUGACUCAUUGACUUCCGACAUUCCCAAAUUUUCAAAAUUCCGGUACAAUUCCAACUCAACUUCGCCGCUCCUGAAUGGCGUAAUCCUCACGCCUCCUCAAAAAUUCAUACUUUCCAUCAGUGCGUGUAGUGUGUGUAUUUGCUUAUAUAGAAUUGUAUCAGUAUGAGAUGUAUAUAAUGACGGUGUGUAUAGACAUAGGUGGGGAUGUAUCUAUAUAUGGAAAUGCAUAUACCAUAUCAAAACAAAGGUGUCAUUUUCUACUUUGCUGAUUCUUUUUAUCUUUAAUUUUCGGUUUGUUUGUAUAAGCCAUUGGAGGGAGAGAGCCGGAGACUAGCAAGCCGUGGAGGCUUUUAACUGGGUUAGGAAAGCGGAGAAUGGAGAGGGACUGGAGUGUUAUUUGGAGAAAGUGUUGGGGUUAAUGGAAAAAAGGGACAGAGUGAAGCUGGGGAGAUAAUGGAGAGUGGAGAUGUGGCCACGUAAGUGAGGAGAUGAGAGUGAGAGACAAAGGCAGUGACCCGGAGUGACAGCGGUUGUUGGUGGUGGUGGGGACGUGGUUAGUUAACGACUGUUACUUGAGAUAGCCGGUUGCCCGCACCGGAAUCUUAAAUUUGGUACACAUAAAAAUUUGCCCACAAAUCUACCAUGAUUAGGGUGAUAUAGUACUAUCAAACGAUGAGAUUUUGUGCGUUUGGAUUUUGGCCUCAUUAGCUGUAAGUUGAUAUUUUGACAUUGAGGACAACUUUCUAAUAAUUGAUCAAGACUUGAACUUGAAGGAUGAAAUUAGACCAAACAAAUUUGGUAAGAUGCAAUGGAUCAGUAUAUUUUUCUAAAUUGUCAGUGUAUCACUUACAAAUUUAGAUGCAUGACACAUUAUUUCAAUUUGAAUUUGAACACUAAAUUUUACAUAUGUAACAUGCAUCUAAAUCCUCUAGUAUAUACAGUUAUAAAGAGUUAUAAAGGUAAAUUUUGAAGUUUGAAAAGGUAUUUUUUUAACAUUACAGACCAGUACAAAAAAGAAAUCAAGGAAUGAACAGUUCAAAAAUGUAAAAUCCAGUGUGUUUAGAUAGUAAAUUAUUUGGAAUAAUUUUUUUAAAAAAAAUAUUAUAACAUUUUUUCUGACGUGAUGUAUGUAAAAUAAAAAUAUGAUUGAAAAAUGCGUUGAUAAUGCAAGCAAAUAAAUUUAUACUAAUAAACCACUGACCAAACAAAUUUGGAACGAAUGGUGUGUGCUCCUUGUUGAGUGGCUAUUGGUUUUCUAAAUUUACUGAAUUUGGCACUGUUAUAAUAUUCAAUUUUUAAGAACUAAAAUCAGCAUUUGUAAAAGUACAAAUUACUCUUAGAGGCUUAUAAGUUAAGAUUCACCCGUUCACUGUGUCCGGAUUGUACUUAGAAGAGAAAAAAGAGGCCAAGUUGAAAAUUAGUCUCAAAUUUUUAUGCACAUGGAAAGGUCGAGGAGUGGGCAAAAAGUCUUCGUCAGUCUUUCUACCAUAAACUGUUGACAUUGAUGAGCGAGCAUUUUAACAGGGACGCGUAAGCAGCUUUCGUUAGCAAUUACUAAUCCUUUCUUUCUCAGCAAAAGACAAUAGAUGUUAAGGUAAGGUACGCCCCCACCGUCACCGCCGGCAUGCACAUCAGCACAUGCAGGAAGACAGCAGGUUUAUUUAUGGUAAGCGAUGCCUGUCCGGGGUAAGCCAAGCAGGGGCGGCUGGACUGAAUCAUUGGAGGAUUGUAUAGGCAAUUGUUUAGAGGUUGGCGUGAGAUUUUAAAAAGAGGGCCGCAUGCUGAUGUUGCCAAAUAUCUAGACCUAAUUCUUUUUGCAUUAUUCGUCAGUUACUAAUCUAAUCCUACUUAUAAACAACAGGAUUCAUUACUAGGCCGAUAAUUGACUUCUAAAACUCCCAUGGUUGGAAAAGAGAAAUAGUAGUGUAGUGUAGUGUAGUCCCGUGGCCUAAUAAUUGCACGUGAAUCUCAAUACUUCCAACCCAUAGUUUAGCCUGAUUUGAGUGGCAGUGGUCCAAACUACAAUGCCACUUGCCUAAAUGAUGCAAUCCAUGGACUGUAAGCAUCAAAGAGAAUUGCCAAAAAACAAGGGGUCGGGGUGUUGGGGGAAAAAGUACGAGGAUGUGGCGCACGUACCGGUCAGGCCACCAUGAACUCAUUUCCAUACUCAACAACUACGGAGCAUUUCAGUUGCGAGAAAAGCAGAAAACAUGAUUGCUAAUACAGAAAACCAACAACCCAUUUUUUUUUUUUUCUUUCUGACAUUUUCUCACGAAAGUAAGAAUUUUUUGCAAAUAAACCUAACUCCCCCGGCCCAUUUAACUCUUUGCAAAUAAACCUAACUCCCCCGGCCCAUUUAACUCUGUGAAUUCCAAUUUCUUUCUGCCGGUUGAUAUAGAUAGUCACGUGACACACAUUGCUCCAGUAAUUGUUUACCUCCGGCAUCAUGAUUCCUGACAGUGAUUUGAUAACUUGGAUCUCCUGUAUCACUACUUAAUGCUUCGCCUCAGAAAUCUAGCCACUACUUCUUUAUGCCUAGAAGCCUGGAACUCCAACACCAUUAUCCACAGGCAAUUGAGGCUGAGAAACAGUAGUGUAGUGCUUAUGAACAAUCAUUACGUCAUCCAUAUGCACCAAGUGUAAAAACCAGAAAGCAAUCGCACGAAAGAUGCAUUAUCUAAAGUUGGAGAACCCCACUUUUUGGAGUACAAAAUACAUCUUCAGUAGACAUUCUUCAAAUGCCCAAGUAAUAAUAAGCCGAUUUGUUUUUCUUUUUAUUCCUACGGAUGAAGUCAAAAAGCUUAAGCAGAAGCCGAGUCUCCAAUCAAUUCUAGUAUCCCCAGUAGUCGUUGCGGAUUUCAUCAUCAAACUUCUUCCUGAGUUCUGGGUGCUUCUCAAAGUACUCGUCUGCUGUCAUGGUACUGAGUUUCUUCUGUAAAAACCAUUGUAGAAGAUUUGAUAAACGAGAAAUAACGUACCAUGCAAGCCUUUGCUUCCACAGAGCCAAGUAAGAAAUCAAGUACUAUGGAGAGAAAAGAGGAAGGGGUGGAUCUGAAACAAAGAAAGUCCAACCUUCAGCUCUUGAACUUCAGCAAUUUCCUUCUCCAGUCUUUCAGACUCUUGGAGUGAUUGUUGCUCAGUGUCUUUGAGCUCCACCAACUGCAAGAAAUGAGAGAAUAUGAAGUUCUUCUUUUACAGUGCUAUCAAACAUGCAUAUCAACACCCAAUAACAAUUUAACUUUUAACUGUAUUUACUAAUAAGAAUCGACUUCAGCCAUAACAAUUUAACUCUUUCUCACCAAAGCAUCAAAUUUCGGCUUGUACUCUGGAGUAACCGUAUCAACGUAUUUUGGAAUCUCAACGCCUAAAAAAAGAAAAAAUCCAUCAAUAAUUUUAGACCAAAUCUCAGAAAAAAAAUUGGUAAUCAAUAUACUCUUGGUUUCCAAAUGAAAACUAUCUUUUGGUUAAAAACAAAAGCAGUACUACAUUUUUUUAUAACUCACAUCAAUACCCUCAACAUGCAAACACAUUUAUUGGUAAUAGAACUAGUUAGAGCCCAUAUGAGAGAGUGAUGUCAUUUCGUUUUCUACUUUUCAAAUUCGAAGUUCCAAGGUUGAUCUUUAUCAAAAUGACCGAUACUGCAUAAAGUAAAUGCAUGAACCUAUGAACUAAGGUUGCCAGAAAGAAGCUAGGUAAGUAGAUGGAUCAUACUCUCAUAUGCCUCUUUGUACAUAUCAACCAAUUUAGAUCCAAUCCCCUUUCUGUAAAAUUCCCAGUCUAUGGGCUCUGGUUCCUGCAUGAUUUAGAAAUUUCCAAAUGAAAACUAUCUUUUGGUUAAAAACAAAAGCAGUACUACAUUUUUUUAUAACUCACAUCAAUACCUCAACAUGCAAACACAUUUAUUGGUAAUAGAACUAGUUAGAGCCCAUAUGAGAGAGUGAUGUCAUUUCGUUUUCUACUUUUCAAAUUCGAAGUUCCAAGGUUGAUCUUUAUCAAAAUGACCGAUACUGCAUAAAGUAAAUGCAUGAACCUAUGAACUAAGGUUGCCAGAAAGAAGCUAGGUAAGUAGAUGGAUCAUACUCUCAUAUGCUCUUUGUACAUAUCAACCAAUUUAGAUCCAAUCCCCUUUCUGUAAAAUUCCCAGUCUAUGGGCUCUGGUUCCUGCAUGAUUUAGAAANNNNNNNNNNNNNNNNNNNNNNNNNNNNNNNNNNNNNNNNNNNNNNNNNNNNNNNNNNNNNNNNNNNNNNNNNNNNNNNNNNNNNNNNNNNNNNNNNNNNNNNNNNNNNNNNNNNNNNNNNNNNNNNNNNNNNNNNNNNNNNNNNNNNNNNNNNNNNNNNNNNNNNNNNNNNNNNNNNNNNNNNNNNNNNNNNNNNNNNNNNNNNNNNNNNNNNNNNNNNNNNNNNNNNNNNNNNNNNNNNNNNNNNNNNNNNNNNNNNNNNNNNNNNNNNNNNNNNNNNNNNNNNNNNNNNNNNNNNNNNNNNNNNNNNNNNNNNNNNNNNNNNNNNNNNNNNNNNNNNNNNNNNNNNNNNNNNNNNNNNNNNNNNNNNNNNNNNNNNNNNNNNNNNNNNNNNNNNNNNNNNNNNNNNNNNNNNNNNNNNNNNNNNNNNNNNNNNNNNNNNNNNNNNNNNNNNNNNNNNNNNNNNNNNNNNNNNNNNNNNNNNNNNNNNNNNNNNNNNNNNNNNNNNNNNNNNNNNNNNNNNNNNNNNNNNNNNNNNNNNNNNNNNNNNNNNNNNNNNNNNNNNNNNNNNNNNNNNNNNNNNNNNNNNNNNNNNNNNNNNNNNNNNNNNNNNNNNNNNNNNNNNNNNNNNNNNNNNNNNNNNNNNNNNNNNNNNNNNNNNNNNNNNNNNNNNNNNNNNNNNNNNNNNNNNNNNNNNNNNNNNNNNNNNNNNNNNNNNNNNNNNNNNNNNNNNNNNNNNNNNNNNNNNNNNNNNNNNNNNNNNNNNNNNNNNNNNNNNNNNNNNNNNNNNNNNNNNNNNNNNNNNNNNNNNNNNNNNNNNNNNNNNNNNNNNNNNNNNNNNNNNNNNNNNNNNNNNNNNNNNNNNNNNNNNNNNNNNNNNNNNNNNNNNNNNNNNNNNNNNNNNNNNNNNNNNNNNNNNNNNNNNNNNNNNNNNNNNNNNNNNNNNNNNNNNNNNNNNNNNNNNNNNNNNNNNNNNNNNNNNNNNNNNNNNNNNNNNNNNUUCAACUUUUUAACCUUCCUAUUCUAAGUUAGCCUUACCAUCUUCCUUUUUUAUAUAUGUCCAAACCCUGAAAUCAAUGUGUUUUUUGUUAUGAUUCUGGUUAAUUAUGUUUGGAUUUUAGCUGAAUGAAAUAGAGCACUAUCAAUUAGAGAACAGAAUAUUUUUCGUGGAUAAUUAUCAUUUUAGUCUUUAUUUAUUCAGAUUGUUGCCUGACCUUCGAUUGUAUGGUUGCAGGUUGUCAAAAAGGUCAAAAUCCAUGUUGCAUCCGUUGAAGACACAUGGGCUGUGAAGUUUAUGAAUUUUAUACUUGGGGCAAAUCAGUUGCUAUUUGAUGGACUGACGCGUGAAUUGCCUUUGUAAGAUUCUCGUGUAUUUUAUGCAUUUUAUGAUUUCUUCUGCCCCUUUCCUCUUGUGUGCAUUCUCAGUUUCUUGCACACCAACACACGUUCGCACAAACAUGCACCUUGUUGUGUGCAAAGCUCAUGCUUCCAGACACUGCAUUUCAUUUAUUGGGUGAUUCUGGAGUAUAAUAGGUCUUCUUGUGAUCUGAUGGCCUGGUAAUACCACCAGAGUAAGCUUUGAAGAAGGUCUAUGGAUGGUGGGAGUAAUUGAUGAAAUUCGAAUGCCUGUUACAGAAACUGAAAGAUAUCCUACAUUAGUUGAUACAAAAACUCGUGCACGAGCAAAGCUUCCUACUGAAGCACAACAGAGAAAUGGAAGGUACUAUCAAGUGUGGUUUUUGGUCAGGUUGCUGAGGAAGAUACCAGCUAAUAGCAUUGCUUCUUGAAAUUGAAGCAAUACAUUUUUCUUGGACGUUGAUAAAUUGGAUAGUGUUCUAGUCCUGUAGUAAAAUUUCAAUUUACAUAUCAUUGUGGCUCAGUAUAAGGGAUUACCUGUAAUAUACCCAUUUAUGCACUUUGAGUGCUUAUUUUUGUGUUUAAUUGAACAUCUUAUCCUUUGCAUUUAUGCAGACUCUGAAUGAUUUGGUGGCAUACUAUCGAAAUACUUGUUGUAUGCUGCCUCCAGCUCAGGACCAACUGUUACUAAGGUUGGUUAAGGAUUUCCAUGUGUUGUUAGAUAAGCGCUAUAUGGACUGCCGAAUUUUUUUCUCCAUCUCCUAGCAUGGCUUCUGGUGAUGAAUUUUAACCAAUUUCAAAAGAAGACAGCACUGACGUUUCGUAUGAUCUGUGCUCUUCAUUUCCUUUUCAUGUUUUCUGACCUCCUUCCCUCCACAUCUUUCCCAAAAUUUUCCACUUUCAGCAUGUUUUACAACAAUAAAGUCCAGGUCUAGUUUCUGCCAUUUGCCUAUAUUGAUGAUUAUUCUGAGCGCUAAGAAAAAAGAUUUGAGGCUAUGUCCACCCAGUGACCUUAGGCAGGCUAAAAGUUUACAGGUGCUUUUCUUUUUCCUAGAAGAUAUUUCAUUUGCCCUUUAUCAAGUGCCUACUAGUAUAUAGAAGAAGUUGAGACUAAAAACGAAGAGGGACUUGCAGAAAUUAAGCUUGUCACUUAUCCUCAACAUUGUACAAUUGAUGUUCACUUGUUCCUUAUCCAAAAGUUUGCCUUUUUUUAUUUGUCUUUUUGGGUUAACGCUUUUAAAAGACUUUCAUUUGGAAAACCACAAAUCACUCAGGGCACUCUGCGGUAGUCCAUUUUACACUAGCAAGAAUAUUGUCUUCUACAGGUAUGAAUACCAAGAAGAUCAAUCUUUGAUCGGUGAAGAUCAGUUUGCUUAUGAUGCUGAUUGGCUCAAUAAUCAACUCAAGUCUUGUCUGGAGUUCUGGCGAGGGGAACGAGAACCCAGUUAUGCUGCAGAAGAGGAGCGGUGGAAAUGCAACUUCUGCAGUUUUUAUUCCCAGUGUCCAGCAAACUCCAAACUUGAUCCACCUAGCUAAAGAAGUAGCCGAAAUAUCAAUUUUUUCACAAGAUCAGAUUUCAGAUUCGAACUGGAAUGCUUACUUUGAAGGAGCAUGAAUUUGCUGAUGAGCUUCUUCGUGGUUCAUUUGGCAGUUCUUGUCGGUCAUCUCAAAUUACUGAUUUAUUCAUUCUUGUUCUACUGUACUCCCAGUGCUGCUGAGGGAUUUGAUUAUUCAUUGUUGUAGCAAGAAAAUGUCACUGAUCUCCUUGAUCGGUUAUUUGUCAUUGUUGUCCCACCCAUUGUAGGAUGGUGGGACGGGAAUAUUAAGCGGUUUGCUAACAGGAUGGAAUUAUUGAUGCUAUGCUUACUGCAUCAGAAAACCAUUAAUACACAUAUUUGGCUGCUAUUUUCAUUUCUUCCAUUCUUUGUGCACUGAAUUUAUUUAUUUAUUUUUUAUAGCCACUCUAGCUAAAGGGGCUAAAUUUCCAGAAAUUUUGGGGAUACAAAUUUUACCGGAAGGAAAUUUUAGGAUCAAGAUCAACAACUUUUACCAUGAUGACAUUUUAAUAUCAAGUAGUACAAGAAAGUCACCUCAUAAAGGAUACUUUGCCUUGGUGAGCCAUAGCUCAUGAGAUAUCAUUAAGAGGUUAAGAGUCCGGGAAGUUUUAAUUCUCUUUCUCCUCCGCUGUUUAUUAUAAAUCCCCCACCCCUCCCCGUUAAAAAAAAUUAAAAAAAAAAUGUUACCUUAGUAUACAUACAAUUUUCAGUGAUUAAGCAUUGUUGAAUGUUAAUCAAAUGAAUUAUCGGCUUCACCUGGAAACAAUAUUUUAGUUCCUUGGUACUAAUACUGAUUUAAAAACUUACUUGUACUAGUUAAUUUUAGAUAAUCUUAAACCUUAUGAACAUCGUCAAAGCUUGAUGAGUUGAAGUUAAUGAGCCUCUGGACUAUUAAAAUAUGGGCCUCAACAUUAAAUUUAAGCCCAUUUUGAAACUUGUCAAUCAAAAGUGCAGUCCAAUUCAUCGCCUCCUGCUCUCUUUACUGUCAAACUAAACCACUGGUAUGCUACAAUUCAGAGGAAGAGAGCUUCAUUCCCGUUGUUGUUCAAAAUCUGCUUCCUCAGAGGUUUGAUCUUUCUUAUCGUUACUCAUGGUUGCUCCUCCUAAUCCGUAGUCGAUCUAUUUAUGCAACCGUGAAUUCCACCUGCCUAUGUAUUGUUAUUGAAUCAUGUUUUGAUUCAAUUGUUCUCUUUUUCGAAGCUUUGCUGUGAACCCUUCACCUUACCUUGCCACAAAUUCAAUAUGUUUGAGUUUAAUUGCUUCCAAGAAUCGUAUCACGAACUUCUGCUGUAGCUUUUAAUAUCCAUAUGUUGUUCAUUUUGAGUUGGGCUGUGUUCAUUUCACAUUUUCAUUAUGCUUUCAGUACCAAGAAAUCACGUCACAAAAAUUCGGUCCAAGAUGGUAUCUUUGUGGCAAAAUCUAUCUGUUAGGGGCUCAGAAGUUCAUAGUUCUUACUUAAAGAUUGCCCCACGUUUAGCAUCCUUUUAUAAUCAUUCAAUAGUUACUCAUUCUUUUCAUCCCAUUUCCAGUAUAUGGAAUUUUAGAUGCCAUUCAGCUCCCAUCCAGAUUUCAAUUGCUUCAAAUCAAACACUCCUGGUUGCAUUUUCCCUCUCACUUUUUCUGGUUUCUUUUUAUUCUACAAGUCCAUAUCCAAUUCGACGCCUGAGGGGACCCCCUUCAAGAUCUUUAAGGAGGAGAAUGAGUAAGAGGGCAAAAGCUGCCGCAAAACCUGCUCUAGAUGAAGCCCAAUUUGAGAGGGCUAUUUCUGGGCUCCCACCUAGGUUCACUCCCGAGGAACUUUGCAAUGUCAUAGUUUUAGAGAAGGACCCUUUAGUUUGUUUGGAGUUGUUUAAUUGGGCUUCAAAACAGCAUAGGUUUAGGCACAAUGUUUCAAGUUUCCACAUUACAAUAAAGAAACUUGGUGCUGCAAAAAUGUACCAAGAGAUGGAUGAUGUUGUUAAUCAAGUGCUUGCUAUUCGUUCUAUGGGUACGGAAGCUCUUUACAAUACAAUGAUCUAUUAUUUUACAGAAGCUCGAAAAUUGACUAGAGCAGUGAACAUAUAUAAUCACAUGAGGGAUAUCGGAAAAUUGGACUGCAGGCCUUCAAUUACCACAUUUAAUAUCCUUUUUGCAGCUUUAUUGAGUAGGGGAAAGAACUCAUACAUAAAUCACAUGUAUAUGGAGACAACUAGAUGCCUUUUCAGACAAAUGAUCGACGAUGGGAUUGAACCUGAUAUUUUCUCCUUGAAUUCUAUGAUAAAGGGAUAUGUGCUUUCACUUCAUGUUAAUGAUGCCCUCAGAGUAUUUCAUCAGAUGGGAGUGGUCUAUAAGUGCUUGCCUAAUUCCUUUUCAUAUGAUUACUUGAUCCAUGGAUUGUGUGCGCAAGGAAGAACGAAUAACGCCAGGGAGUUGUGUAUGGAAAUGAAGGAGAAAGGAUUUGUCCCUAGUAGUAAAUCAUACAAAUCAAUUGUGAACUCCUUGGCUCUGAGUGGAGAAGUUGAUGAAGCGGUGAAGUACUUGUGGGAGAUGACUGAAAACCAAAGAUCAGCUGAUUUUAUCACCUAUAGGACCAUACUUGAUGAAACUUGUCGCCAAAGAGGGGCCGAAGAUGCCAAGCAUUUAUUGCAAGAGUUACAAGGGAAGGGCCUGCUAGACGGGCAUACUUGCAGGCAGCUUCUACAUGAGGUUGAAGGAAAUAUCGGAAACUCACAUUUCAGAACUCAAUUCAGGUACCUCAAUUUGUAGAUUUUUCAUUUUCCCAAGGAUCUAAGAGGGAAAAAUGCCUCGGCAUCAACUCUAGGAGUAAUAUGCCAGCAUGACCUGAUACCUCUGUUUUCUUUUUGUCCUAUCAUUUUUAGGCUCUCAUGGCAUAAGACAAUUCUGAACUUUGAACAAAGUUGCUUUCGUUAUCUGUUUCUCUGUCUUGUUUAAAAGGAACUGCCCAAGACGAGAGUUAGGGUUUUGAGUUGAUUAGAGUUCUUAAACUAUAUCCAUUUAUGCUAAAGUUGAGCCAUAACUACAAGGACUACUUAGAAAGUGCUUUCAUUAGGUUCUUUGACUACUUGGUUAUAUUUUUAACUCAGAUAAUACAAAUGUAGUUUGUCGAGAGGUUUACAGCUAAAAUUGCUUUGUUGCUCAAUUAAAUCUUUUGCUGUUCUUGCAGCUAAGAGCGAGCGGUGGAAUUUGUCUACUUCAUAUCCAUGCUAAGCCACCAAAAAUAUGUGAGAUCUAUGGAAAAGGCUUUGCAGUGGUCUUGUUAGCUUGUAAAAGAACCAAUGUUCUUCAGAUAAGUCCAAGGUAAUUUCGUUUUCCAGCCUUGAAUGGUUCUCUAAUGUUAAUAUCAACUUAGCGACCUGGUUCAUGUUUUUGUUUUCCAGCCUUAAAUGGUUCUGUAAUAAUAACUUGAACCUGGUUCAUGUUUACGAUAACGAGCUUUGUUUGUUUAUAAUAUACUGUGAUGAAAAAGCUGGAGUCAUUUAGAACUAGACGCUAGGGAAGUGACUGUCUCUAACAAGAGAUUUUCACAAGAGGGAGAUAUCAUUUAUGGGGACAGUGAAUAAAUAUGGAUGUUGUGAUGAAGUAGCCAAAAUUAAGCAGACCUAUGCAGGAUUGUGAGAAAUUGUUCAUUGUGGCAUUCCAUAACAAUGUAAGGUAAGUUAAGCCAAUAUCAGGUUGGCAGCGAAAAGUCAGCAUUUGCUUGGCAUUAGGCAGUGUUUAGUUGUUUUUCAAGUUCUGAUGGACCACAUUUGUCAGGAUUGAGGAGUUUCUUCUAGUUGUUUAACUUAUCCCUAAUAAAACUAUACAGAAUAAAUCAUUACUUCAUGCACUUCCAGAAGUCAAACCUAUUCUGUGCUAUUUUGCAGUGCUCCUUUUUCCCUUCCUUUCUAAAGAGUGUGGAACAUCUAUCUUACCCUGUUCUAAGAGAAGGAAAGGGAACAUUAAAAUGUUGGAAGACUUGAAUAAAUCUUCCGGUAGCAAUUGGUGCCUAAUGUUCAAUGGCCUUGAUUAUUUGUUCUUGGUUUUCUAGGAAUUCUUUACGUGGAUAAGCAUUCAGUUCUGGUCUAUCUUGCCUGAUGACUAACUGGAGUUUGCCUGGAAUCAAAAUCAAUGGCUGCAGAUGUUGUGAGAAGAUCAGUUGCUUGUCUGCGACAAUUGAGAUGCAUAUACUGAUUGGGCCGGGAAAAGAAAAACAUCAGUCUGCAUUGCUGGAAAAGAUUUUCUUUUUCUUUUAGGGAAGUGCCCAAUUAAGUUUAUAAAUGUGUGGUGGCUUGGAGGUGACCACAUAACUACGCUGUAAAUAAAGGGGUUGUCUACUGCCAAUGAGCACUGUUACUUGUGAUUAAACGAGCUGGCAAAAUCUGAAAUCUCUUGUAGAAAAAAUAAAUGGUAAAAAAGAGCACUUAUGUUUCUAGUGUGAGGAGAUGGCUAAGGUCUAUGCCCAGCUUGCCACCUUAAUAUGAUUUUCGGUGCGUUUGUUAAGCCUGGCGUGCUUUUCAUUGUAUGUUGUGGUAUCAUUUUGGUGUACCUGCUUUGUGAGUUGAGAUGUAUUACUUAAUUACCAUACUUAAGUUAGUAGACCUCUUUUGGCAUUGCUCCUCCUGUUUUGUUAUGAGGGAGAAUGAUGACAUUAGUCAUUGCUUGGCAAAAUUUGCCAUUAAACUAGUUUAGGAAGUUAAAUCAGAAACAAGUUUUCCAAUGUGACUAAAAAGCUAGUCACAAUCUGUUGAUAGGACAGUUGCCCAACAAUUGUAAUACUUUUGAAUAUCUUAUUAAAGUUUAUAUGAAAGUUACCGUUUGCUCCCAAAAAAAAAAACUGAACAAAUUGAUUAAAAUACUAUCCUAAGCACAGACUUACUGCCCUGUUGCAGAUGGAUCAACUUUCAAGUGGCGGUUGUUUUUUUUUUUUUUUUUUUUGUGUUUGGGGGGGGGGGGGGGGGGGAGAGGAGUUAAAGAAAAAGAAAAAGACAAAAUCAUCCUUUUAGAUAGUGAAACAUCCAGAGCUUCUGUAAUUAUAAUGUAGAACUUAACACUAAAAAUACAGACAUUAAACUAAUUAAUGUAAAUAUUAAGACUACGAUAUGUAAAAACACAAUAAUAAUUUCUUUUGUUACUUGUUGAAAUUUGUGCCCACAACUUCAAUUUUAGCCAUCAAAUUACAAAUUACUUUCUCUGAACCAUUAAUUGCAUGCUGCAGCUACAGAAGAUAUGAAUCCUGAAAACAUCAUUUAAAUCCAAAUCCGUACCGGGGGAAGGACACGCAUUAGUAGUUCAAGAACUAGAGUAUGAAUACGAGUAGGACUAGGAUUUUUCGUAAAUAUGAUACAUGAAGUGGUCUGAUUCAUAUCAUGCAUUAGUAUUUAGAAGAGUUAAUAGCGUUUUGCCCCCUGAAUGUAAGGAGUAACAACACUUUGUUCCCGUCAAUGAAGAAAAGGCACCUUACCCACUCAAGAAUCUUUUGUUUGGUAUUUGUAGCAGGUAUUCUUUUUUUUCUUGUAAAAAGUAAGAAAAUGAACUACUCAUAUAUGUUGACAAUUCCACCUCUAUAUUAUCUUCAAUCAAAUUAAUCUUGUAGAAACAAAGUUAUAACCUCCGCCUCCCUCCACCACUUCCCCUCAAUUUCAUAUCAUAGAGUUGUCAACAGUCUAUUUUUGGGAAUACUUGACACAAGCUCCAACUGAAAUAUUCUCAAGCAGGCAAAGAGCUUACUGUUUUUCAUUGAGGGGGCAAAAUGUUAUUACCCCCACUUUCAGGGGGACAAAGUGUUACUAGCCAUAUUUAGAAUGCGAGCACAGAGACACAACAACGCCCCGGCUCAUGAACAUUAAACUGCAACUUAUACGAAAUUGUUGAACGUUUCUGGAUUUCUGCUCCCUACCAAAAGAUUUCCCACUCAAAUAAAGCUAGGAUCCUAUAAAAAAAAAAGAAAAAAAAAAAGGAAAAAGAAAAUAGAAGAGCAAAGAAUUGUGAAUCAAAAUGCCGUGACAAACUCCACAGACUGUCGAUAUUCCAUGAUCCAUCCCUCCAACUGCAAAGCAUGGUCUCCUUUCUCAAGUCCGUGAGAGUCGAAAGGAUCUGAAAUUUUGCAUUUUUUUUUCUCUUAUUUGCGGAGUCAAGUCAUGUAUAAUUCCUAUGGAACUGCAAAUACAGACUACAAAACUGUAUCAGCUCGGCUUAUUAUAUACAUGGAAUCCGCAAAAAAAAGGCCACUUUGUACUCGGGUAACUGCAUGGCCUAGAUUAUCUUGAAACAUGGAACUUAAUAGAAUUGCAGGACGCCAGUUAUCGUGAUGGGGGGAUCAAUCCCUACACGAGUAGCCUUCCCUUCCGUAACUAACUGUGGCAAUGCGUUGGCAUCUUUGGCUGCAACUCCUUCACCAGUCCAUAAUGUGACAUGAGGCCACUGGUUUUUAGAAGUUAUCUUUUCACCAUUUACCGAGCCUGUGUGAGCUUCUAAUGCUGCCAAUUUCCCAGAAAAUAGUAGCGCAGUUAUAUCCACAGGUACCCUUUCAUUAAGAAACGAGCCAUAAUUUGCAACAGCAGUAACACCAUGACUUCUCUUGUGAGCCAGCGUCACAUGAGCUUUUGUGAGACUAUCCUUCAGAUUUUUCUCCUUGAAGAAGGUUUCAAUGCCGGGAUCCUUCUCAGCUAUCUGAUUCAAGAAAGGAAACAAUACAAAAUCUGUUAUACUAAUUUUCAUCCCAUAAAUUCAACAGAAGAGAAAUGAGGGAAAUGUGAAACCAAAUCCUUGAGUAAACAAGAAAACAGCAAAGAAAGAAGUAAAACGUAUUCAGCAAUCACAUUGCCAAAUUUCCUGGCUCUUUUUUUCAUUUCCUUUUUUUUUAAUUAAAAAGAAAAGGUAGUAUGCGACUCAAAACCAGAAAAGGUUAUCCAUCCAGAAUGAAAUGUGAAUGUCACGUUGAUACUUGCUUGACCCUUCCCAGACCACGCUACAAAUUAUAGACGUAAGAAGACCAAGACAGAAAGGUCCGUAGCUAUUAUCAACUGCACAGAGGACUUCAGAAUCUCAAAUUACGUAUGCCACAUGGUUCCUCAUGAACUUCUAGAAGAGCAAGUGGAAUGAGGCAAGACCUAUCAUGGGUCUGAAGGCUAUUCAAUUACAAAAGGUUUUGAAUCUUCAUGGAAAAACAGAAUUGGACUGGAAUUGGAGUAUCCAUAAAAUUUAACGUUCUACUCAAGUGCUACAAGCCCAAUUUAUAUCCAAUUAAGUUCCCAUCCUAAAGAACCAAAGAUAGAAUAAAGAAAAUCUCACUAAAUUUACUAUGCUAUGCAAGAGAAAACACUUGUUAACUCACCCUUUGGAGGAAUUGAUGGAUUUCUGCAACAGGCAAACUCACAGCAGCGUAUACAAUAGCCCCAAGCCUUCUUUUCUCAGUUACUGGUGCUGAAUACUCACCCUUUGCAACUGCUUUUAGUUGUUCCAAGACUUGCUUGACAGCAAAUUCAAAUGGAACCUGAAAGGACAUAUAAUGAGAAACCAACACAGUGAAAUUAAGAACUCCACCCCACAAAUGAAGGACAAGAUGUUUGACCAGAGCAGAUUUAUUAUGGUUGUUUUCCCCAUUAAUUAUAUAUGUUCACAUUUUAGUAUGUACAAACCCAAGUGAGGAGGUUUGCUUUGGACUUGGUGUGGGCUUCAAGGUUAGGCUAGUUCAGCUAAUUCUUGUGUAAUAAGCUUCCAUGGCAAAAGCCUCCAAGCAAACCACUUAUGCAUCAUAUUGAUCCUCAGUGCACCAAGUUCUUCAGGAAGAGGGUAUUACUAACUGAUGUGCAAAUGAAAAUGAUGAUAGGAUAUUAUACAAGCAUCCAAACCAAAUAGGCAUUCACCUGCACCGAAUCAAGGUACUCAGAAUUGCUUAAUAAAAUCUCUCGCAAUUCCUUCUCCCAUUUAGUCCAUUCUGUUGCAUAGGUUCCUUUGGUUGACUCCAAUCUGAAAGAAACACAGCUCUCGACUGAAUCAAUUGGGAAACCUCCUUUAUUAUGGUUCUCAGGACACAAAUCCAGAACAAGAUGGAAAUAUGAUUACCAACCUUCCAUGCCUGCUUGUGUGAAGCUUGUACAGGUUUAUCCCCUCUUCCAAAACAGAACUCACAGAAACAGGUAGAGGAGACCUACAGGUAAAGGUAAGAAAGAAAGACACACUUGAAGCACAUUAAAUCAGAAGAAAAUAAGCAUGUCUCAAUUUGUAGCCCUCAGGAAAGGAAGGAACUGAUUAUACCAUUAAAGAAACCAAAGGGAGAAUGGAAAUAACAUGUAUAUCAGAAAAACAAACAUUAUAGACACAGUACCGACUUAACAGUUUGUUCUGAUAUAAUCCAUACUGUAAAUACUUCUAUGAUAAUGAAAUGAGUAUCUUGAUAGAUCACAACCAAAUUGCGCCUAUUUCAUUUCUAAGUUAGGGAUGCUUUGAAAUGCAAAUAUAUUGGAAGGAGUUGACGAGAUUACAGAGUUAAAAUCAAAUAUUUUCUUUACGUUAGCAAAGAUUAGUAAGCCAUAGUGUAGACAAAAUUGACUAUAGAAAUUGGUGGGGGCACCAGAAAGUGGAUAAGUCAACAGAAGCCCAAAAGUUUUAGUGGCAAGCAUGUAAAGCUCUUUGUUUUUAAGAGACACUGUACACCAUAACUAUGUACACUAACCUGAAGUGUUGAUAAAUUACCUUUGCAGAAGAAAAGUGAGAAAGUAAAACUACAAAUAUGGUUCUAAACAUCCACAACAUUUGUCCUCACCAGGAAGACUGAUCCAAUUUUAAGAAAUUCAAAAGUUUAAUGACAGAGAUCUUCAGAGUAGAACAGCAGACCUAUUAGGCUUCAGUAAAGGCAUCUUCACAAGAGAGCCAAAACGUUCAAUUAACUCGGCCUCAAACUCCUUGCGGCUCUGAUAAAGAGCGGACAAUAAGAUAAGGAAGAAAUUUUAAAUAAGCAACAACCAAAAAAUGCGUGGAAAAACAACUACCUUGCCCUGGUAAAGGUGGUAAAACAUUAGCAACACAUAGCCAACAUUUGGAGAGGACUUGUCAAGGUUCCCCUUCAAGUCCCAAAAAAUAAAUAAAAUGUCAGCAACAUUGUACUCGAUUUCCUAGGAGGUGUGCAUCAUACAAACUACUGAAAACGAAAGUGAGAAAUACCGGAUGAUUAACACGGUGAAGCACUCGAUAUAUGAAAACAGCAAGUGCGUCAAGUGAAAAUGGAUUUGAUUCGGUUCCUGUAGAUUUAACCCAUUAAGUUCUACAUACAUGCUACAUGAAGCUAAUUUACAAAUCUAAUUAAUGAAAACUGGGAACAAUUUUAUUCUUGAAUCCUAGCAUAUUAUUUCACCAAGCAAAUAUAAAAGUAGACAUCUGGAAGGAAAUUAAAAUGUCAUUUGAAAACAAAUGUGAAUUGGGAAGAUUUUACAGAAUUAACAUAUCAUAUGAAUUACAUAUAAAAUUGCCGCAGAUCCCUGAUACUAUCUGCCAGAGCAAUGAAUGAAAAGAUCCACAAAUGAAAAAGUAAAGAUCGCUGUUCGUAUCAUACCGGCGCAGGCCCUAUGCAUUUCUUAGACUUACAACCUCUAUAAUAUGCAGCUAUAACUUCACAAAAAACUCAAUUAAAAUAGAAUUUCAUAACCUUCUCUAGAAGACUAAACCCAGAAAACAAUUAACCCAAUCCAUAUUGCAGUCCUAAAUGAUUAUGGUAUAGGGAGAUUGGCUCAGAAAAUUAGCCAGAAUGAACGAACACUUCGAACAAAUAGGGCUUUAAAAGACCACUCUCCCAACUAUCCAUUUAUAUAUUACUUAAAUUGGAGAGAAUUCUACAGAAAACACAAGUACUCUGAUGGUCAGACAUUUCUGAUGGUCAUAAGCGAAAGCACUUGAUGACCUAAGAUGGUUGACUACCCAUUUCUCUCUGUACUACAUGAGCAUGCUGCUUCUACACUAAGGAAUCACAUACAUCCUUCUUGCACAUGCAUGUGAACGUUUCCUACACGCUAGUGACAAUCAUGCAGCAAGUGCAUAGUGGUUGGACAUGGUAAUUCCUACCCUUUAGCUGCAAUGAUUGUUGACCGAUAAGUCAGGAAAUAACAUUUAACAAAUGAAUCCAAGCAAAUGUCCAAAUUACACAACAGAGGAAAGGACAACAUAAGAGUGCAAAAUAGCAAAACAAAUACUUUCAACAAACAAGCCAUAUAUACUCUGUGAGUGAGAAUAUAGAAGAUCAAGAGAAUGAAACAAAAUGCUAGAAUAGGACCUUCUGAAUCUGGUACGACCGGAACUGCAGAAGCUUUGGUGCGUCGGCACAUGUCCUCAAUCUGGAGAAAUUAAAUGAAACCUCAUCAAGCAAAAUCCAAAGAAUAAAUGAAAGCAUAAAGGAGAACAGCAAGCCCUCCUUCCGCCGGCCCCAAAACACCCCAGUCCAAGAUAAUGGAGCACAGACCAAGAAGAAAAAGUCCCCACACCCAACUUCCUUUGAAGGAAAAAGUAGAAAAAACAGGAACAUUGUGUGAAAAAACAGGAUGCUAAUAGGUGAUACGUAGUUCAACAGGUAUAAAACGAAAAGGAUUGGAAAAAAGGAAAAAAGUGAACAGUGAAAUUUAGCAAAUUUGGUCCCUACAAGGCAAAUUGUUACUAGUCAGAUUCAUUAACAAACUCAAGGGAAUGUGAUCUCAACAAGUAACCUGUUUCCAAACUUCCUCGUUCGGUGCAUUCUUGUCGGCAAGCAUUAUCGAAUAAGGCUUUCUCCGGCGUUCAUCAGCAACCUUCUGCCAAUACCUACCUAUUGAAAUUUAAUGCACCAAGAGUAAAUACAGUAUCAGAAUCUAGAAUGAGCAAGCCAAUCUUAUAAUCAGAUUUAAGAAGCAAUCCAAUCCCCGCUCUUUAAGGGAGGAGAAAUAAUAUGGAAGUUGAUUCAAUUCUUGGAGUGGAAUGAUCACAAGAAUGCAAUGAGGCAUGCAAAAUGAGUACCCAUAUCAUCUUGCCUUCCUCAACAUUUCGCUGUCUAUCCCCCUACGGUACAUGUGCCCAUUAACCAUCCACUAAAUGAGAAUUAGUGAGCUUUACUAGAAUAAAAUGUCCAAUGGAAGUAUCCCAAGAUUUCAGUUUUCAUCAUUUUAAUCUACUGUAUUUCCAGUAAACUUCCUAUUGGUACUGGUUUAGUAGUAUAGCCAGCACAUGAUGUACCAAUUGAAACCAUGAUCUCUGAUGUCAGAGCAGAAGGUUCAUCUCUAGUCAUUUAUAAGACAUGCAAUAAGCUGCAGCACGAAAUCUUAAGCUUUGCAAGAGCUUUCUAAACAGGAAAGGUCUUAAAAAUUGAUAAUCUCCCGAUAGUUGCGAUUGAACAACAAAAAAUUCGAACAGAAAACCAAUUCAAUAACACUCUACAGAUGAACCUGUAUGUUUAAAAUGCAUCAGAUAUUUAGAAUGUCAUUGAGCUCAUACCUUUUAUAAGAUCACCCAUCAAAGUGUUAACUGGUCGGUCAUCCUCAAGGACUCCAGGGGCAUUUAAAAUUUCCCUACAAAGCGCAGAUUUUGCACAACCAGGUAUUCCUGAAAGUCGAAAGCAGUUAGUCCAUAUAAGAUUGAUUUAGUGGGUGCAUAUCUUAGGUGGAGAGGGAAGAAAGAAAGAAUGCAUGACAAGCGAAAACAUCUUCAAUGGUAUAAUAAUAACGAUAAAAGAGAUGUGUGCAUAUCAGGAAGUGUUAUCCUCCAACCAACAGGUAAACUGAUAUGCAAUGAGCAAAAAGAACGGCUUACACCACAUAAGAAGUUUCAACUAGCAAGUGAUAGAAAAAGAAAUCAGAUUAUACAUCUAGUGGAUUUCUAAGAUAUAUAAUUAACAAGUUCAUGAUCAUCAGAUGGAACAUACUUCUAUUCUCUUACCCUCCCUACCUAAAUGGAACCAAAAGGAAAUGAAGGAGCUCAAUGAUUGUCAACAUUAAAUAAGCAUCAAUAUAAUAUUCAAUCUAAACCCGAUAUAUGUCAAAAAAAAAAGUCAAUCCAGUGAUCUCAAGAUGAAUAGGCUGGCCCACAAUUUUCCCAUCCAGCCAUACCUGGAAAGAAGACAAUGAGGCCCUCAUCCUUGGCAACUCUGUCCUUAACUGUAGUUACUGGUCCUGCAUCCCUCUCUUGCUCAAGGUCACCCUCUUCAUCUCUUCCUCCCUCAAUAAUGGCCAAGAAGUCUUCUGAUCUUACUAAGUUUCCAGCAGAUCCUAUCAAAGCUUGAUUUUGUGGACUGCGCUUUGCAUAUUGCUCCAGAAAAGGCUCAGCCUCACUAAGGUAUACAGAAGAAGACAGCAUUUUGUGUCCAUACUUUCUGCGUAUGUAUACUGCCCUGAGAAAGAGGUUAGAUUAUUAGAUGCUUCACAUAAAGAAAUGUAAGUGAUCAUGAAUGAAACCAUGGAAAUGAUUCCAACAUUACCAUUCAUCGAGCAUUUUGCUCAAUUCCCUUUGCUUUGUAGGUGAAGUAUUCCAUAUCUUCAUUUGUCUACAGAAACAGGAAAUUAUGAAAUGAAAAGUAAGCAAAAUAUAUCUGCUGUAACAGAUUCUUUCUAUUCUUAUUGAGACCUUUAAGCUUCACGGAAAUUUCAUUUACCUCAAAUAGUAGGCUUUGUAGGCAGAUGGACCUUCUUUAAAGAGAUUAGACAAGCCAUUCCUGAUCAAAAAGGUUCGCAACUGCACCAUAAAGAAUCAAAUAAGAAACUAAAGAGUACUGCCAUGAAAUUAGUUAGUGUCCCACAAAAGAAUGUUCAUUUAAAAGUUCUUAGAGUUGAAAACAGAAGUUCUUUAAAAUUUCCAUGAAGUAGCAAAGGGAAAGUAUAUGAAAUUUCCUUCAUGUCAUUAAAGUUGAAAAGUUCUUUAAGAAUUAGGUAAUUGGUUUUGAAAGGUUAUUUACAUACUCCAAGGAACUAGAAGUUCAAAGAGAAAGUUAUCCAAAACUGUGCUUACAAACCAAACAUUCAUUCCCUCACUUCAAAAAUUCCUUGACUUUCCACUGUUCCUUCAAUCAAAACAAUGUCACAGUUUACACUAAAUUUCAUUCCUUGGCUUUCCACUGUUCCUUUGAUCAAGCAAUAUCACAGUUUUACACUAAAUUUCAGCAAAUGAAAUUAAAAAAAAAAACCAAUUUAGAAGAUGCAUUGUAAUUAGCACAGCAGAAGCCAACUGAGGAAAGGAAGAAACAAAUGUUGUAUCUGUAUACUUAAUCUACAAUUUGUACCAUUGUACUUUCUAUCUGAAUAUCUGUUGUUUCAAUUCCAAUCAACAAGCAAGAUAUAGUUAAAUGAUAGAAUUAAUGAUCAACACUUGAGGAAGCUUUAACGGAUAAAACAGAAAAAAUUCACCACCAAUGAUAUGAUUAAAGGAUCUGUAGCUCAUUUUAAAGAGCAUGCAACAUGCUAGAAGCAUUGGGAAACAAGUAGAUUAACUAGAAAUCUAGCUCCAUAAAGCACCUCCAAGGUGUAAUGCACCCAGGACUUCUCUGUCAAUACCCGACAUCCUUGACAGAAAGUUUUGACAUGUGCACAGAUCAUCAAGUGUAAUAAAGCAUGCAUCAACUAGAAAUUUAGGACCCCUAAUUAUCGCCCAAGUAUUACUAAAUCCAAGGCAAGAUAUCUGAAACAGCCCUUGAAAAGAUAACAGAAAAAUCAAGGUAGUUGCAAAUAGUAAGUGCACUGGAGUUGAAUGCACAAAAUUUCUUAUAACUACAAUAGGCACACAUGAAGCAGAAAACCAAGCCUGACUAGGCUCAACCUAAUAAGAAUGGUGAUGCAUUUCAGUCAAGUAAAGAGGAUCGCGGGGAAUGUCAGUUGCAGUUUACCUUAUAUGUGAGAAAUUUCAACUUGAUCAUCAGAUUUGCAUCUUCAUCAGCUAAACUCUCAUUUGUGAAAGUGCCAUUAUUCUCAUCAACUUUUUUUGCACCCUUCUCCGUUCCAGCAAUUUCAGCAGCCUUUUCCUUGUCUGCCUUGAAUAAGUUUAAGUCGACAAAGAAACCUGUCAAAAAAAUCACCAAUUAGCAUCCAACAGAGAAAAGUAUGUCAUUAUUAGUCAAAAGGAUAUUCAAUCGUACAGAUAAGGAAGCUGAGAAUUGCAAAACAUCUACGAAAAAGAAUGAAAAGCAGAGGAAGAAGAAAGGACUAUAGCUGAAUUACAAAGCUGAUGGUACCAAAAGCAAUAUGGAUAAAGCAAAAAUGGCUAAAGCUGGAAUAGAGCUACAAGAAAUAGACAAGCAAGCAUCAAUUUUCUGAAAUUGGCUACCUCCUCCACUAUUCUCAGCAUUUGAAAGGAUUAGAGAAGAAGAAUGGAUUUAAUCCCUAGUGCAAAUCCCACAAACUAACUGGAAGUCUACCAUAUGACCAAUGGCACAGCUGAAACCAGUAAAAAAGCAAGCACAGCAGUGAGCUUACCUCGAUAAAGUGGCCACAGUCCUGGUUUGUUCCUGAGACAUGCACAUCCCAACCCGUUAUUUCAGUCAAAGAAUGAAAAACUACAAAAAUAGAUUUAGCAGCAAAAGUAAAGUUAUUUCCCAUCAUUAAGAUAUCAAGACAAAUUAAGUAAAGACCUCAUCUCUUUUUGAUAUCGCCGAAAUGCUGAAUCACUGUGUACAUGGAUCACCAUUUUGAAAUGAAGAUUAUUGCUAGAGACAGAGUUGAUCUUUUGAUAGUUAUGGUACAAUUUAAAAGCAGCUGGAUAGCGGUUUUCGCGCAUCAAGCGAAUCAUUUCCUGAUUGAAAUCAUCAAUCAUAGAAAUGUUUGGUAAGAUCAAUUGAAUAAACUCUUGCAAGAAAAUUUGACAGAUUUUGCAAAAUGAGUAUAUAUAAACUGGGAAAUGACAAUAAAAGAAUAUCAAAUGACAGAACCUCUUAAAGCAAUCUCAACAGGCAUUAAAAAACUCUUAGCUAAAUUUGUUUGACUGAUUUCAUUUUUAUCUGAAAUAAAGACAUUAAAUCAAAGCAAGACUCUUGGUCUCUUACAUCAAGCGCCUAAGAAAGGUUCCAAAAGCUCUCUUACUCCCACAGGCAAUGAGGCUUUAUUUGUAAAAGAUCAGUGGCACAACUUAUGUAUGAGAAUGUAUAAAUGAAUACACCAAACAUCUAUGUGGAGAUACAUUGUUACAUGGCCACAUCAUGCAAAACAAUGCCUCUAAAAUGGAAGUUAAAGGGAGAUACAUAAAACACCACCUGCAACUUUAUUGUAGAAAAAUCAGCAGGGUGUGUUUGCAGGAACUUUGUAAGAGCCGAACGAUCAACAUUUCUUGAAUGUGGGUCGGACCCUUCAUUCCCAAACCAAUCCAGAUAGUUUGGGCAGAAGGAAGUGCCAACGCUCUGCAGAAGUGCCUUGAUUUGCUGCAAGUCAUGUAAGAAGCAAAUUGAUAACACAUCACGAGAUACUUGUGUACCAUAAAACUUCAAAUGUUAGGAAAGCAUGUUAUCUGUUGAGGAUGAAGGUUACCUGCUUCUCAUCAGAUCUAUUUGCAGCACAAAUUUCUCGCAGGCUAGCUCCUAAAUCUUUUGCAUCUGCCACCCGAUACACAAUCACAUACAAUUACUACACAUGUUUAAUUCACAAUUACACAAACCAUAAGUACGUCCCAGUAGUUUCCUUCCACCUCAGAACUAAAGAAGUAUCAGAGAUAGAGAGAGAGAGCAAACACAAAAAGAAGGAAGCAAAGGCAAUUUCAGUUUGACAGCAAAAGCAAGAACAAGCAAUUGUCCAGAUAAUAAUAUUUCAAAAAAGCAAGUCCCAUAAUUCCAGUAUUUUACAAAUCAUUUUACCAUUCACGACAAAAUAUUUUAGACAGCAAACCCUUAUUUGAACCUUUUCUGUUAUCUCUUUAAUGUAGAUUUAGCAUUACAUGUGCAAUCAGAGAGUGGAGCUUCAUCCAAAGCAGGAUCAACCAUUAAUGGUCUAUAAACUCAUUGAAAGGUGACUUUGAGUUCAAUGGCUGAAUACCCACUCAGUGACUCCUAUAGCGUGACCAUGUUCAUCAAUACUGAAGGUGAAAAAAUAAACCUGUAAACAUGUUUAGCAGUUUGGAAGUGGCUUAAAAAAAGGCCAAAAAAAAAGAGGUACAGCAGAGUGAAUCGAGACAUCUUAAAUUUGUUGCUUAAGAUACGAUAGAUACAUAUCACUUGCUCGAGCUAUUUAAUAGUAGCAAAACAUAAGUUGAAAUUUCCUGGAUGGUAAGAAAGAAACUUCAUUGACAAUAAUCUCUGGUCAACAGAGAGAAGCAACUCAGUGACAAUUGCUUUUCCCUUCCUUUCUAACCCCUCAAGUUGAGUAGCACAAACAAAAUCCCACGUGAAAGUUGUUUCACAACAUCUAAAAACACUAGGCACACAGUCAAUAGAGAAGAUAAUUCCAGAUGGAAAUUCUUUGAACUUCCACAAAGAGCUAAUGAGGGCCAGCAAGAUUUAAGCACUUGAACAACCAAAAUUACAGAGAUACAGCAUGAAAUUUUACCUAGAUUCCUGUUACUUACAAUAAGAAACUAUGCCUUAAAAGCUUACACUAGUCUGUGCGUGAUUUGAACUUCUUAAGCAAAGGAGAUUGUUCACAAAUUGCAACCAAAAUUUUAAGGCAACCAAGAGAGAGAGAACAUGUUUUUCACACAACAGAAAAGGGAAAAUACUUUUUACCUUCAUCCACAGUAGGUAAAGGAAAAUCCCUUAGAACUUGUUCCAUGUCUUUUGAACUUUCAUGGCUUACUAUGCGAGCCACAAGACCUUCUAAAAUUUCGCCUUGUACCUUUAUGUGGUCUAUUGAUCCUGCAGCCAGUGAGAGAGAAAGGGCAAAAUUUUAGGAAUAACAAAAUACCUUGAUAAUUUACAGAUGUCAUAAUUUAAGAAAGGCUCUAACAAUUACAGUAAUUUCAAGGCAAGGGACCAUGGGCAUAUAUUUAUAUUAAAAAAAAAACAAAAGGAUAAGAGAGUUGGAGGAAUAAAGUCCACUAGCAUUUAGUACAAACUAUAGCUAGGAACCUUAGGCCAGCUUAAGACUUGAUGCCUGUACUGUCUAAAAGAUCUAAUUUGCAAUCAAAGCAGCACCAGCUGCAUGCUACUAACAGAACCAUACCGGCAUACAGUGCUGGACCACAUUAAAAUUGAAAAUGAAAAAUAAAAAAGUUGACAAGAAAAGGUAGAAUGAUGGUGAUGAGAAGAACUAGGUCUUAAAUUACAACCCAAUGAUGGAGGAAGAAUAAGUGCAACUGUGCAAGCCUAAUAACAAAUAUUCCGGAGAAAAUGAUAAGCAUCCAGCUAUGAAGAAGAUAAAAUAUGACAUCUGCCCACUAAUUCUCUCUAAGUGCCUGUGUGGAUGGAUUGAACAACAGUCAUUUUCAUCUCAUAACAUCAGCUAUUAAGAGCCAAGAUCGAGUAGUUAGACUAAGGCAUCAGAAAAUGGAUAUAAAUCAGGUCUAUGAGAAUUGUAAACAAUAAAAGUCUUAGCUCACCACGAAAUCAAAGAGAGAUUAGUAACUAAAAAAAGCAGGGUCAUCAAGUAGAAUAUAAGGGACCACAAUGUUUAAAAGGUUUGCAGAAUGGUGAUUCAGCAGUAGCUGUCAAGGUGGUUGGUUUAUCUUGAUUUGCAUAGGAUAUCAUAGAAAAUACAAGAAAGCCAACAUCAGGAUAUGCUGCUGGUUGUAUAGCAUGCCUAAUGACAGUUAAGUAGCUGGUAUACAGAAGAAGCACAAUGAGACAACCAUGGUAAUACUUGUAACCUGGUCUGAUUCACAGACAAAAAAGAAUUGCAGCCACCUGCAACUGUAAUGUGCUAUACCUGAUCUAUACUGAAACAACAAAGGUGCUAAAGCCAAAUUUGGAGGACAAACAAGUUAUCAAAACCUGAGCUUUCCAUGGUUUCGACAAAUCACAUCAAAUCAACAAGCUUUUGCUUUACAAAUAAAGGCACGUGGGUUUGUUUGGAUUGUAAAUUAUUUGAGAUAUUUUUACUGUAGCGCUUUUUGUGAUGUGAUGUAUGUGAGAUAACAAGGUAAUUGGAAAGAUAAAAAACUGUAUUGGAAAUUGUAAUGGUAAUGUAAGCAAAUAUAUUUGGGGAAAUAACCCACUAUCCAAACAAACCCAGUUCUGUUCUCAAAUAAACUUCACCUGGAACAGAUAUAUCUGCAACUUCGUCAAGAGCCUGACAAACAGGAGAUGCUGUUCCUUCUUCACACAAUGCAUCGUAUGCAGCAAAAAAGGAGGUCACCGACUUCCUAUAGUAUUGAUGCAAAAUAUGUAUCAGGGCAACAACUUUCAUCUUAGAUUUGCCAAAAGUACUCCAACAAAAAUAAAUAAUAAAGAAUAUUUUCUCCACUAGCUAGAAACAAUUUCAUUUAGUAAGAUGCCUUGUAACUAGUUUACCAAAAUACAAAUAAAAAGGAAGAGUUAAUCACAAAAUAAGAUGCAAGUACACUAAGACAAAAUUUCUGCCAAUUGCACUUGUUUAAGAAUCACCAAGGAAAUUUUGAUCAAUUAUGUCAAAUGAUGAUACAGCUAUUCAUGACCAAGCUCCUGUUUUAAAUGCUUAUACCGAAUAGAAAAAUCUUAAAAUACACAUAGAUGAAAGAAGGGAGUGCAUUAAGAACAGAAAAUCAAUAAACAUAGACUUCCUCUAAUCAUAACCAAUAUAAUGUUUGUAGUUCCAACCUCAGUACUGAUUUCCAAACUUUAAGAAGAGAAGAAUUACAAAGACAUCCUAUUAUAAUGAAGAAAGUGCAGCAUCAAUCAAACUGAAAUCUACAACUACAGUUGUAUUCUUUCUUAAAAACACACAUAAAAGAGCAAUACCUGGUGGAGAGCAACCAGACAUGAUUUGUUGGAAGACGCCACUUCCGGCAAAAAGCUAUUAUUUCUGGAGUAGAAUAAAAUGUUGGUCUCCCAAUGCCCAAUUCUGUGACUGCUGUCACAACCACUGCAAGACAAGAUAGACAAGGCAUACAAGCUGAAGCAUGAGAACCAGACUUUCUGCCAAAUCAUAUCCAUCAAACUAAUUAUGAAAACCAAAACCUAUGGCUCUGCGAAAACAGUUGCACAAAAUUGGAGCUCUGCCAGACACUGGAUAGUUUAACUGUUUACAAUUCUAAGAUCUAUUAAUUUGAAAUGAAUGGCAGGAAGGCAGCAUUGAUCAGCUAACAAGAACUAAGCCUGAAGUAACAAUAACUUGAGUUCCAGUAAAUGUUACAUGGUACCGCUUGACAAAAUUGUCUGGACUGCAGUUACAGUAAGUGCCAAAUACAUAUAUAAACCCUCUUUGCUGGUUGAGAAUGCCAAAAAAAAAAAGCAAAAUAAUUGAAAAGUUUGGCCAGCAUAUGGUAGCACUUGUACAUAUAUUUCAAGACAACAAAAACAUCCUUCCAUAACUACCAUGACUGCAAAAACACAACUGAACAAGUUGCCAUUCUUGCAAAAAUACAUUAACUGUUGAACAAAUUGCAACUACUUAAAUGCUUCAAUUUUUAGCAACCUUCAGAAAAAAGUGCGCCACCAUACGUCAAGGUAUUGUGUCCUUUCAGGUGUUAUCAUCCCUCAAAAUAGAAUAACCAAAAAAGUUUAAUCUUCCAUGACCCAGAAAAAGUGUAUCUCAGCUUCAAUCAGUCAACAGAAGGAAAAGAAAAAGAAACCAGAAUAUCUGACCACAAAAUAUACCACAUUAAUGUAUAGUAGUUGAUAAUUUUCUUUUAUGCCCUCACCAUAAUCUUCUCGAGGACGUUGUCCAUGGUCUCCUAGUACAGCAGUUACCAGUUCCAUUGAUAUGCACAUGCGAUUCCGCUGGAAAAAAUUCAAAGAACAGAAUUCAUCAAUUCAUAAGGACAAACAUAUUGCUCAAUUACUAUAGCUAUUGGGCAUCAUGUUAUGUGCCACAUGUAUCGACAAUGUAAAUAUGAAGAUGUUUCAGAAUGAUUAGUGACAGGGUAAGUGAUGCUCACAUAAUUACAAGAUUCCAGUUCCACUUGCAUAUGCCUUACAAGAUGAAAUUUCUUGUUACUGCAGCAACGCCCCCUUCCCCCCCCCACACACACACACACACAACACAACAACCAAAAAAAAAAAACCCCCCACCCCACAGCCCCUCAAAAAAAGAUUCAAAAUCAGCCAAUAACAUCUUGGUCCAUGAAGUAAUGGUUCCUAGGAUGAGCAAUCAAUACUAUUCCUCAUCUAUAAUCUAGAUACCAUUUUACUCUUCUAGAUUAGUAUGGUGAGAGAUUCAAAGCAAUAAAGUCAAGCCUAUCCCCCAGUUUAUUCUCAAGAUUCCACAGUGAAAUACCAAAAGAUAAGGGUUUCUAGUCUUCAAGAAACUGCAUAAAAAAUAUAACGAAGAUAUGUAAAAACUACAAAAGCACAUCAAAAUCAUAACAUAAAUGCCUUCCUCAACCAAGAUAGAAAGUUAUCACUGAACAACUCCAAAAGACAACUCAAAACUAAAAGUUCCUCGCAUCUGUGCUCCAUCAAAGAAGGAUCAUUAUUUUAUUUCUUAUGAGUAGGCUAUUUGCACCUUAUUUUCAGUGCAUUAGGAUUUUGAUUUAAUCUAAAAGUAAUGACAUCUAGAUUUUGUUGCACAAUGUCUAAAAAAUAAUUCUGUGGAAGUACAUUGAGAAAUUCAUUGAACUCUGCUUGCUUCUUGGUUGCUUGAGCACCCCAUGCCUUGUGAAAAGUCCUCCCAAGCACAAAAACACCAACAGCAGUGUAACUGCCGAAAAUAAGAAAAGUGAAAACUUAAAUAGAAAAGUCAAGCCAUAUAAAUGACUGCUAGAAUGAUACACAUCCAAGAUUACUGACAUUAUACAGAAAAAGAUGCAUAUUUUUAUUCAUGUAAACUUAAAAACAACUCCAGCAGGCUGGAUGUUCUCAAAUCUAUUCCAUUGUGAUUACCAAAUAAUUCUCAGAAAUAGUUUAAACCUAGUGCACCAGAAAUAACUUUAACUUUAUCUUAUUCAUCAAACCAUGUGGAAUUCAUCUUCCUAACCAAUUGCACUAUUGAACCAAGAAUCCCCUGCCCAACAUCCCAAUAGAAUAAAUGAACUCCCAACCUCUACAAACGUGUUUCAUUCAGUGAUUGACUGAAUCAUCAGAAUGCACUAUAAAGCAUUUAUAAAUUUUCACACAGGAGGAAAUGACUGGUUGAACACCAAACCAAUCAUGCUAACGGUUCAAGAGAAGAGAAAACUGAAUGUUUUAUUUGUUUAGCAGUUCCACCUUGACCUCCCCAUAAAACUACCCCCACCCAAGUAACUCCACCCAAAACGAAGAUCAACAAUAGCAAAGAGGCAUAAAAUCUCUCAGUAGCAUACCAGCAAUGGAGUACAGUUCAGUAAAUUAAGCAAACAAAAGCAAAAGCUCCAUGAUAUAAGGUAGGAAAUGAAUAGAGGAUGCAAUGGUUAAUCAUGAGCAUACACGUUGCCAAAGCUGUUCUUAGCAUAUGCUCCUCCCUCAUGUCCAGCAUACAUGAAAAGAGAUCCAGAAUGCUUGAGUGAUACCUGUUGAAGACAUGAGAAUGCUAGAGAAAAUGAGAACAAUGAUAGUACACACAUCAAAAGAAAAAAUUGAGCUCCAUUUCAGCACAACUGAAAGGAAAUUAUGGAACAAAAGGAUUUGUAGAACGGAAAAGCUAAAUUCGUACCUCCAACGUGGCCAAGCCUUUCGACACCAUCUCUAUCAUUCUUACUCUAAUCUGGAACACGAGAACAAUCAAGAUAUAACUCAGAAGCCCACUAACAAGAUUCAACUAAUGCUCAAAAAAGCACAAUAAGCUAUAUUUUGGAGACCAAAUAAUCGGUAAUAUCUAAUUGGUAUGCGGACAUUUCCCCCAACCACAUGACUAAAGGAAAAGCAAGAGAGAAAAACAAACCUCAUGAUCAGACUUCUCAUUUUCAAAUUUGGGGUAAAAGGUAGCUCUUAUUUGCGCAUGCGAGUAUGUUGAAUUGUCCACAGUGAAGUUGUCCAGUAAAUUACCCUUAAACAAUUUGCUCAAGACAGCAUUAUUUAAUCCACCUGAUGCUGCUUGAGCUUCACCCCCCUGAGCCGGACCCACCACUUGAGCAGCUGGUCCUUUUUCAACUUCUACAGCCAUUGCCCCACUUGUUGUUCCAUAUGACUUCGUCUCCCAAAAGCCCUGUCUCGGAUUGUUGUUCACCAAUCCUACCCCGGCAAACUGUUGAUCUGGGGGAGGAACACUGGACUCUCCAUCAUUUUGAGGAAUGCUUAAUGAACUAAAUUUAUCAGUCACAGCUUCCACACCUCCUACAGAAGAAACCUCUUUCGCAGUUGAUGAAGGCCUGUCAGAUUUUGGCUUCUCUAUCCAUCUUUGUCCUCUAGCUGCACUCCUUGGCUGCAUUUUCAUAAAUCAGAACAAUGAACAGACAAAUAGUGCCAACCAUUAUAAGAAAUUAGGAAAAACUUAAAUGAGCAUAUCCAAAAUACAUAAGGAUUUGAUUACCCUGUAUUCUACAUUUGUCCAUAAAAGGUAGAACAGAGGAUAAAAGGUAUCUCUUAAAAGGCAGAACACAGGAUAAAAGGUAUCUCUUAUCAAAGUUACUAACAGAGAACCAUAGCUACUAUUUAGAUGGCAAGCAUUUCUAAACAAAAUUAAGCUCAAUAAUGCUUACGUGUUCAAGUAGAUGACAAUGCUCAUCUUCCACUGUGAGUACCUUUUUUUCAAUCCUUUUUCUGUUUCCUUCUUAUAAUCACUCUUAUUGGUGACAGAAAUAAGGAAAAGAAAAAAUUAUUCAACAUUGUAAACCGAAAAAAAAAAAUUUCAACAUCCAAUUUUGCUUCAACAUCUUGACAUUUUACCCGCAAGGAGAAAAAAGAAAACAAUAGCCAGGGUUAUAAAAAUAGAAAUAAAGUACCAAGUUGCUACAGAUGCAGAAAAUUAGAGCAAGAAUAAAUACUUAGAUACCAAAAAGGGAAAAGAGAUAGCAUUUAAGUCCAAACUCUAAAUUCCUAUUUUCGAUCUUUAUAGCUCAUGCAAUCAAACAGUGACCAACUGCGAAAAUGUUACAUCUUUAAUCCAAAACACAGCACAAAAGUAGGGGCAAAAGCAGGUAAGAGAAAGGAAAGACUCGCAUCGCCAGGUGGGCUGACAGCAUUGCUAACACAUCACAUAUCCAUUAGACAGCUAUAACUACCGUGUUCGCAGAAUUUAAUCAAGUCUUCUAUAAUUAAAAGAAAAUAUAACCAAUUCAUCAGAUAAAAUCACAAAAAAAAAAAAAAUUGAAAUAAAAUACAGUCACGUAAUAUAUGCCCAUCAAAAUAGAGAAGAAAAAGAAAACCUGUUUCCGUUGCAUGGUGGAGUGAACCAGUGAGCUGCUGAAAGAGAUGGAGCGAGACCGGAGAAGAAGAAAGCUUCUGGAAGAAAUUAGAUGAUGAGGUGAAGAAUGAUAAUGCGAAGAGGAAGAAGAACGAGAAUAGAGUGCUAGAGUGAAACCAGAGAAUAUUCUCUGAGAAACCAGCCCCCUCGACAACAUCCAAGUUUUCCAGAUAGUACAACUUUGCUAUAAAUAGUAGAGAAGAAGAGUGGGGCGGUGAGUGGUAAAACUGCAAUAGCUAAGAAAUAGGACGUCAAAUACUACUAAUUUACGAGCACCGCGGGCACCGCCUUAGACCGGCGUCGAAUCAGAAUCGUUCUACUGUGAGAUACUGUAGAGUGAGAAGAAAAAAAAAAUUAGGUGCAGUGCCACUGCCCAGGGAAAGAUUAACUAAAUCAUAUAUAAGCAUUUAUCAGUUUAAAAUACCGCGCAGUAGUCUAUAUAUGAUCUAUAUCGUGUCGUGGUCAUUUGUCGUUCACGUUUCCUCAAGUUAAUAUUUUAUUUGUGUUUUUCUCAUUUUUUUCCUUGGGUUAACCUUCCAGGUCGUGGCCACAUGAUGACCAAUUUCUUAAUGGAUAAGUAAUCAUAAAAAAAAAAAUCCAUGCGAAGGGUCCAGACAUUAAUUAUUGCCAAUUACUUUCUUAACUAUCUAAUCUCCCAGAAUUCCUAUUCGGGAUAAUAAGAUAUGCCUUGAUUUUCAAUAUACCAUUUUUGUCUUUUUGUUGUUAAUCAGACAAAUCUACCCCGUAAUAUGUCAUUUUAAAAGUUUUCUUUUUUAUCUCUACUUUUUUUCCUCUUUACCUUUUCCUCCCUUCUUUUGCCAUUUUCUUCUUUCUCCUUACCGUUGAAGGUGGCCCCUUCCACUAUUUAAUUAAGAGCAGGACGAUUUGAUUGACUGCACAUUUUCAUUUGAUGAAAAAAUGAAUUAGUUGUGCUAACUUCUGAUUCUAAAUCUCAGGGCCUUCAGCUAAUUUACUGCCUUUGCUUCCUAUAAGCAUUUUGAGGCAUGGGUUCUGCCUGCUUUUGUCAGCCCGCCAGGGACGCAUUUGAAAGAUCAAUCAAUGGCACAAGUAUGGCUCUAACAGAAUGAUACAGAUUGCCUCUCUUUCAGCUUCUUCCUUCCUGCGGUCGAAUUCAACAACUUUACAUUCCAGUGAGCAAUCCAUGUGCCAAUGGAAUGGAGAUGUAAUAAUUUAUAGUGGAUAUUAUUGCAGUAUGGUAAAUGGUCUCCAAGUGAGUAAUGUGCCUUAGCAUAUUCACAAUAUUUAUGACUACCAAUGUUUGCCGUGGCUCUGUUGCUCUAAGCUGGCAGCUUAUUUUGUCAAACUAUAAAAGUCUAAGGUGAAGAAACCACCUAGCAGUUCACAAUGUUAACUAUCUCCUCUUUGCUGCAAAAAAUUUCCAUAUUUCGGCGUGUAAACACUUACUGUCA